UUUUUUUUUCUAAACAAAACUGCAUAUAUCAGUGCAUCUUUUGUUGUUACUGGAUGGCCUGGAUCAGUGCAUGAUAUGAGAGUGUUCAGUGAUGCACUUAAGAAAAUAUGGUGACAAGUUUCCACAUUCUCCUACAGGUAUAAUAAUUUAUCUUCGUUUGUACAAAUAUGUUGUCUAUUUCAGUUACCUAACAAGUUUAUAUUUAUUUGUAGGCAAGUUUUACCUUGUUGACUCGGGGUAUCCUAACCAUCCCGGUUACCUAGCACCGUACAAGGGUACGAAAUAUCAUCUAUCGGAGUUUUGUAAUGGCCCAAUGCCGAAAGGUAUGGAAGCAACAUUUAAUUACGCACAUUCGUCCCUUACAAAUGUGAUAGACAGGUCCUUUGGAAUAUAAUGAUGAAGUGGAGAAUAUUGUUGGGUAUACCUAGUUUCCAAAUGCACAAACAAAGCAAAAUUAUUGUAGCGUGCAUGAUAAUUCACAACUUCAUUAGAGAGAACGGUAUUGCCGAUAGGGAAUUUGAUUUGUGCGAUCAAGAUGAAAAUUUUACUCCAAUAGAUCAGCCAUCAAAUUCUGAACAACAUGAGACGGAGACACAAGAAAGGGAUGAAGACAAUAAUAUAAAUGCAUUCCGAGAUGAACUAGCUCGUGCCAUGUACAACAGAUCUUAGCUAGUGAUUUGAGUGUUGUAAGAAUAAUGUACUUUUUCUUUAAUUUCGUGGUUAAUGGACAUGGUAAUAAACGAUGGAUAUUUUGCAUCAAUUAUGGAUAUUUUAACCGGAGAGAAAAAGAGAGGAAGGGAGCUCCUGCAUGCAAAGAACGGGCCAGGGGGCUCGUGCAUGCGACUGCAUGCAUGCAUGCGCAACAAGCGAAAGGGGCAAGGGGGCAAGCAAACCAGCGAGCAUGCACGGGAGAGGGGCAGCGCGCGGAAACUGAGGGAGGGGCAGCAGGGUAAAAGGAACAAUUUUCACAUCAAAGUGUUAAACUUUAACUCCUCACCUAAACAUCGUGCUUGCUAAAAUUUAUCCCAUUUGUUUGAAGGAGCCCGUUCCUCCCAAACAAGACUUAACUCUGUGGGCAAUUUUCAAAUAACACAGGGGGUUUCUUCCCCAGCUAGCAAAUUCCCCAAUGGGAUUCACAUCUAGGAAAUUCCCUACCGGACUUUCUUCCGUGGGGUUAAUUUAUUCCUGCUGCCAAACUAGCCCUUGUAGUCGUCUGUCUCUCCAAAGUCCAAAGAAGUUGCUAAAUUAGGCCUUGAUUCGAGUGGUGCUACGCCAAGGGCAAAGCUCAACCAAAAGGAAGCAUCCUUUUUUGUAAACAAAACUGUAUAUAUCAUGUUGUGCUAUGAAUCUUACAAAUCCUAGAUUCGACACUUCUCGUUGUUUAACCGCGAUUAACUUUGAGUGUGUUUUGACUUGGCUGAACCAUGCAUGCAUGCAUCUGGAUUAUUACUGCUCCUGUUUACACAAGCAUUUCAGUUCAUCAGCUGAUGACUCGCUGCAAAAAUGGUGCAGGGCCUGCUGCAGUACUUCCGGCUGCUGGAGGACUGCCUGGACCUCAUCCGCGACCGCGAGUCCCGGGGCAACUUCACCUACGCCGCCGUCCUCCGCACCCGCGUCGACGGCUUCUGGUCCGCGCCGCUCCACCUCGACGACCUCCUCCACGCCGCCAACACCACCGCAAACGACGACGCCUACUACGCCGUCCCGAAGGGCUCCCGCUUCGGCAGCCUCAACGACCGCCUGGGCUUCGGCGGCCGGCGCGCCACGGAGGCCGCGCUCUCCCGACUCUCCAUGCUCCCUCGCCUCGCCGCCGCGGGGUACCACGGCCUCAACUCCGAGGCCGCGUUCCGCACGCAGCUCGAUGUGGCCGGCGUCGUGGGCCGCGAGCGCCGCCUCCCGUUCUGCGUCCUCAGCGACCGCGUCUACACAUUCCCGCCCGUGGCGGGGUACUGCGUCCCCGUGGCGUCGCUGGCGAGCUAGCCCCGGCCCGCUCAGCGGUGCCAAGUGCCGGUCGUGCCGCGGCGCGGAGCGUCGACGCGCUGGAGACUGGGUGGAGCUGGAUCGAGCACCGGAACGGGACGGCCGUGGAGCUCUGUGACACGUCCGGGCCAUGGAUAAUAUUAACAUAUCAUGCUUGUUUGCAGGAAAUUCAAGGGUGGAUGGUUAGUGUUGGUCUUGGUCGGCACCUAAUCAGGCAUCAUAUCGGUCUUUGGUGUACGUUGGCUGUUGCCCCAUCACACCAACAUCGAUCUCAUCUCGAUCGAUCUGACAUGCGUCCCCAUCUUGCUUCCUUUCUGCUCAGUUUACGCCUCCUCGAUCGAUCGAUCCUAUUUUGUCCAAAGCAUGGUUUGGGUACUUGGUAGUGAGCAGCGCACAUUAGGAGCAUUUGGGUUUCUUGGAAGCUACGGCGCAUGGUGGCACACCAACAGAACAAAAACCAUUCUUCGAUCAGCGUUCUAGGUUGGACUGACUUGGGGAUGGUGGAUCGAUCUCAGGCAACAAGGACAAUUGAGGGAGCUGGCCACUCAGUGGCCAUGGCUGCUCAUUUGCCAGCAGCCCAACCGAAACGAGUACUAAGCGGCUGCGUGAAGCAACCCCACUUCUUCCCUCGCGGUCCUUCAGUUGCAUGACAUUUCGUCUCCAUCCAGGUCAUGUUACCUGUCCUUCCGGUGACAUGACAUUGUGUGCGCCCCGAACAAUGAUCUGGAUCCUCAGCUCGACGAGGGGCCCGGCCGGCAGGACGAUGGUGCACGGCGGGCGUGUUCCGGCUCAAUGCCGUCGCCACAGCACGGUUCAAUUGGACGCCGGCGCCGGCGCCGGCGCCGACCGCGCAGCUCGUGCUCCGUCGCGCCGCUAGCUCGCGCAUAUGGACGGGUUCAGUAAAUGACCGUGGCUAUCAGCAGGGUACCAGCGCCUCGGCUCACAAGCCACGAGUAAACGAAUUCGGCGCAUUCGAUUUCUUUCGAUAGGUCGGUAACCGACCGAUAGAUACAUAGGAGGAAGCCGCCGCUUCGCCGCUCCUGCACACCUGACCUCUCGCCGCCUCCGCCGCCGCCUCUCCUUGCCGGUCGUGGGUCUCCAGCGUAAAGUAGGAUGAAGUAGGAUGAAGUCAAGUAUACUACCAUUUAACCUUCAAUGUUGUCUGUUUUUUUUGCAAUUCUUUCCUAAGUAAACAACUUACUUCGGCUGUGCAUUGCUAAUCCUUCCCUUGGUCGCAGUACAGAAGCAAGUUUAAUUUGAACAUCUUCCAUCUAGUUCAUUUUUAUUUAUUUAUUUAUUGCAGGAAGAGGAAGGAUAUGGAAUAAUGAGUCACGGCUGCCAAUAGUACUUCAUCCUACUUGUCGUGCUUUCUUCUAAAUGGUCAAAACUGAAGAAAGGCUUCUGUCCUGAUCUCUCGUCAACAAAACUGAAGGAGCUAUUUUGUGUUGUGGCCUAGGAAGCAUCUAUAUAUCUUAUGGUCUUUACUUUCAUGCUCUAUGAACGGAUAAGUUAGUUGUAUCAAGUCUAUCGUGUGCUCUGUAUGGUCGUCAAAAACAAGUUCGUCGUGUGUCCUGCUGUUUUAAGUACAAUCUUUAAGUUUGCUUGUGUUUAAUUUACCACGCACGAAUACCAGAGACUGCUUUGUGAUCGUUCCUGGAUGGAUCGUCUUGUACCCUCUACUAUAUGCCGCUGCUGUUGCAUCAUGCAUUGCAACAAGAAUUGCUGUUGUUGCUGGCUCGAAGCUACUCCAAGUCUUGGGGUUGAUCUGUAAUAGAAAUGGAUAGGGAAUUGGUGAAAACAUAUUUAGAUAAGCACCAGUCAGCACACACAAUACAAGUAAAAACUCGGAAAGGUACAAAAAUUAGUGAAAGUGGCUAAAUGUCAUAGUUACUGACUUAGGUGCAAUUACAAACACAUGUCAUAGUUACUGACUACUUAGGUAGGAUUCUCAAUGCAUAUGCUCUGUAAAUAAUUACAUAUCAUUACUCACCUAAGGAUUACUGUUGAGUAAACCUAUCACAGAGCUGCUUAUUGUAAAAUGCUAAAGCACUAGGAAUUCUGCUUCUGACCAAAUCAGGGAUGAUUCACUAUUUCUAAAUGGAAGUCAGAUACUUAAAAAAAAACUUUUGCCUGCAGUAAUACUAACAUCGUAUGAACAGGGUACUCAUCCAUAAGAUGAAGUUUGACAGACUAGGAUUAUAACAUAAAGGUUACUAAAACUGACACGUGCAUAAUUACUAACACCAAUACUGGAAAUCAAGGGCAUGUUUCAAUGUUGGCCCCAAUUGGCCAAGGCAAAGCAUGGGCAAUUUGGCAGCUGAUUUGGCUGCCCCCAUUUGGCCAGUCUUCGCGGCAAAAAUAAAUUGCAGAAGUCCGGUCAAGCCAAAUCGGCACCAUCAUGCAAACAUUGCUGAUACCCACGGCCAAUGGCCAAAUUUUGGCCAGGCCACUUGGGUUGGCAUCCAAACAUGCUCCAAAUAAUGCACAACCAUGAAGGCCACUUGACUAGCAAUCAGAGGAUAAACAAUAGACUAUAACCUUUUGCUGCUGGACAAAAACUAAUAUUUCAUAACAGGAAUUUAGGAAUAUCAAUAUUGGCACUGCUCUGCAUCAAAUUAGGCAGCAUAUAACACAUAAUAAUCUGUAACUGUUUAGAACACAAUAAGAAGGCGAGGGUGAAAAAUUGACAUUUAAUUUACGAUUGGGGGGGGGGGGGGGUAAAGGAGAAAGAUAUAUCUACUUCACCAUGCUCUGGUUGGUGUAGCUACAUUCAAGGAAUUCAUAUCUAAGAAAAAUCAGUUGUACCCACAGCAAAGUAGAAAAGGACGAGUCUACCGACAGAUAUUUUUGCCUGUACCCAGGACAAAAAAAAAAGAUCAGGCAUACACAGAUCUUCGAACUACUGUCUACAGUUUUUUAAUACUAUGAAGAACUACUCUGGAAGCUCUACCCAAAAGAAGAUGUGUGCAAUAAGCAUUUACUUACCAACAUUCUCGCAGUCUUAAAAUCAUAUAUCAUGGGAUGUGAGUCACAUGUUGAACCUUCCAAAACCAGUGAAAUGAGUAUACUUAUUUUAAGUACCUGUCAGUUAGUACCAGUACCAUGAUGACCCCUUUCAUUCGCACUGCAUCAUUCAUUGGAUACUUAUUUUAAUAUAGAGCCAAUUAUUUUGAUGAAGAUGGAAAAAAAGAUCCAAAAGCCUAAAGCAUCAAUAAAACAGCGGCUGAGGUGGGCACCUAUAUUUCAGGGAACAAUAUUUGCAGAGCUACGGGGAGAACCACGACAAUACUAAUUUAAAUGGUGUUUCUUUGCAGUGUCCUUUUCUGAGAUCCAACAUAAGCAUGCUAAGUGAGUUUUGUUCUGAGAUGGACACUGAAUAAACUACAUAUGUGGAACAGGUGGUACCUUGAUGCUAUGAAACCCUGGUAACUUUCGAAAUUAGCUUGUGAUGGCGAGCUGCUUCAUGAAAAUCUUUACACAGGAAAAAGAAACAAUGUGAAAGGAAUUCUCAAUCUGAAUUAGCCAUAGCUGGUGUCGAUUUGUUCGGCGCGCGCCACACCCUUGGAUAUUUCAGCGGUGACAAUGGUGCAAAUCACUGGAUUUUGGCAAGGGGAAGAGCAAGCAUCCUUUCACCACCAGAGACUUCAGUGUUAAAAAUUCAUCAUCAUAGGCAGUACAGUUGGUGUCUAGUUCUAGAAGAAAUUAGAGACUGCAUUUCACCACUUGUUUCUGCUAAGCAUGCUAAAUUUAAACAAAAUCAAAAUGCAUCAAACCUGAUAUGCAUGUCUCUCAAAGGUUGAAGCUUGGAAUAAAAAUCAUCCGAUUAGUGCCCUCGAAUCAUAGCCCUGAAGAUUGAGGCUUCGUAUAAAAAGCAUCCCAUUAGUGCCUUGGUCUGGAUUUCAGCUUGGCUGCACUGUUAAUUCAGAAUAAACAAUAUUACCGCAGCUAGAUGACCUUGAUAGGCCUUUCUUCUUCAUCUUCUUUCUCCAUUUUACUUCCUAAACAGUGUUGGCUUGACCUAAUUGGAUGGAAAAAGCCGGUGCAUGUAUGUGCACGUUGUGUUGUUGGAGAUGAAUGAACAGGGAGGAACAACAAGAACUCACAGUACAUGCCGACCAUCAAGGUAGCAGCAUGUCGUGAAGCUGAAAGCCGGAACGGGUGGGUACUCGCGCCGCCGUCCAGUCUGCAAGCCGGACCUUGACGGGCAUCACUGCAAGCCGGAGGCCGGUGGCCGGCGAUAGCCGGAUCCCCUAGAGCACCAGAGGUGGUGGUCGGCGGCGAGCAAAGGGAUUGGACGCGGUGAGUGGUCCGGAGUCUGGCGGCGUCAAGCAGACAUGUGGGCCUUCGACUAAUUGGACCUAAUGCCAAACAUAACAGCUCACAGGCCCAAUUGGCGCAACAGGCCCACCUACUCCUUUCUUCUUCCUUGCCUCAACGCCGCCAACUCCGGCGUACUCGUUUCGACGGCAAGAUGCCCGGCGAGGAGGAGGAGAACGCCGCCGAGCUCAAGAUCGGCGAAGGUUCGCUCUCCUUCUCAUAUCUCUCUCUCUCAAGCUUUCCCCCCUUGCUUAUGCCUCCCGAAACACCCAAUCCCGGGCGGCUAGGGUUUCGUCAGGUAAAGCUUAUCGCCGCCGCGAUGCGGAACUGACUGACCCCUUUGCCAUGAUUGCGGCGGCGCAGAGUUCCUGAAGGCCAAGUGCCUGAUGAACUGCGAGGUGGCGAUCAUCCUGGAGCACAAGUACGAGCAGAUCCAGCAGCACGCGUCGGAGUCGGACCCGUCGUCGCAGGUGUCGCAGGUGUUCGAGAAGUCGCUGCAGUACGUGAAGCGCUUCAGCCGCUACAAGAACCCCGACGCCGUGCGCCAGGUCCGCGAGACGCUCAGCCGCUACGGCCUCGCCGAGUUCGAGCUCUGCACGCUCGGCAACCUCUGCCCGGACACCAGCGGCGAGGCCACCGCGCUCGUACCAUCCCUCAAGUCCGGGGGGAGGUUCGUCGGUGACGCCGGCAACGAGAAGAUUGAGAAGAUGCUCAACGACCUCUCCCUCAUCAAGAAGUUCGAGUAGAGAGUGCCAUGGGCGUGCCUUGUUCAGUUCUUCAGUUUCCCUAGCUGUGUGAGACUUCUCUUAUCAGGCAACGAUGGUAGUAGGAUUUCCUACCGAUCAUCAAUGUUACAGUCAACUUCAUCUGCCACGAUCCUGAAUUCCUGAUGUAUGCUUAUCCAAGUUAAGAGCCCAAUUGAUCUUUGUUUGUAAUUCUGCAUGAAAAGCCUGAAAUUGAGCUGAUGAGUAUUCCUUUGAUGAUGGAUGCUUGGCUCGGUUUCCAGUUCUUUGGACUUGUCAUCCAGUAGCAGUGCAGUGUUAUUAAAUGUUGGUAACUUGGUAUAAACAUGAAGCUCAGCGGCAAUCCACUCCAAGCAAAGCCUUGGAGGAUUCUUGAUAUAACUAUCUCACUUUUAGUUGGAAAUCCAAGCUGAGCCUGAUUUCUGAACCACAUCCGUGGUGCUUACCACAGCCCAGAAUGCAAGAACCUCACAUCUUAUUAUAUGCAGUCCCUGGCUAUGAGACUUAGAGGCUUUCGAGGUGCAGAUAGCUUUUCACAUUAUCUUGAUCUGUUCUGGCAAGAGCCCUGAUCAUGGUAUAUUAAGGGAACUCUGUUAUUUUCAUAUGUUUAUGAAUAUAAUUGUAUUUUGUUCAUAAUUCUGUCCAAAAAGGCCUCCAUUCAGGUAAUUGAACUGAAGAGCAAGCCUCUGAAGAAUGCCCCCAGGUAAAGAGAACAGUUGGUUUUCUGUUCCGUGAUGCAACCUAUAUUACGGAAUAUACCAUGCAUGUGAAUAUGAAUAGAACAUCCUGCAAUUCAAGCAGGCAAACUGAGCCUGAUUCUGAACUUCACUUCACAAUGAUUUCAAGACAUCUGUGACACUACAGUAACUGCACAGCAGAGACACCAAGAGGCACACAUCUUCCCUCACAUCUCCUUCCUCACAGCCCUCUUUGCCAACAAACCCAACUCGUUUAUAGAUCUGUCAGGGGGAGGGGGCGUCGUGUCCAGUACCGCCGGCGAGGCUUCGAUGGCCGGCCUUUUCGAAGGAGAAGAGGAUGGCUGUUCCGGCAGGCCAUCCGGCCGGUCUCUUCGAAGGAGAAGAGGAUGGCUGUCCUGGCCUUCUUGAAGUAGAAGAGGACGAGAUGUCGAAGGAGAAGAGUAUGAGUAGCAUCUCCAACUUCUUCAAGGACAACAGAUCUGCGUAAUUUCUUUGUCUUCCAUCUCGAUCAAAAAAUACUUUCGUUGAUUCUGUCUUUCGUUGAUUCUGCUUCAGGCGAAUUGUACGCUUGGCUUCCGUGCGACUCAUUCCGCACCUGCCUCGGUUUAUCCGCAGACGGGACGCCUAUCCGCAGAUGGGCCGCCUGCCUAUCCGCAGACGGGCUGCCUGCGCAGGCCGCGCCUGCCUGUGGUUUCUCAUGUGCCGAAGGAGCCCACGUUGCUCAUGACUAAGGCUCGCGUCGUCCUCGCUGCUCCUGCUCCGUUGGUUCGAGUAAGUGUGCCCGUCCCAUAUAAAAGCUCUUGACUGUUAGUACCGAAAACCCUAACUCCUACUGUUUACUUCCUUCUAGCCGCCGCAUCUGAAAACCGGAGUAGAGACGCCGUCCGAGUGCCGAGGAGCCCGAGGAGCCCGGGAAUUGGUGCUGGGUGGGCGGAGUAGAGGUGAAGUGUCGCCACCGUUCGAGCUGCCGCCGGAUCUGUGAGUUUUAUGUCUCCAGCCUCAUAGAUAGGUGCUGGUGGGUGCUUGUAGGUUAGAGCGUCCGGAUAUGUAGGUUUCCUGUGAGUAAGAAUCUUCUCCAGCCUCAUAGAUGGGUGCUGGUGGGUGCUGGUAGGUUAGAGCAUCUUAGUCAAUACGCAAUAACUGUUAGCUAACAGUUUGUAUACCUGUAAGUGUGAAACCCUAACUCCUACUGUUUAUUUCCUUCCAGCUGCCGCCUCGUGAAAACCUAGGCGGAGUAGAGGUGAAGUGCCACCAACGUCUAAGCAGCCGCUGCGGUCGGUGCCAUUUGUCUCAUGGCUCAAUUACCAUUGGAACCUGGUUUGUCUUUUUUCUGUUUAGAUUAGUCAAUUAUAUAGCAACCAAUUUAAUCUAGUUUUUAUUUUUUUUCAGCUAAGCCAUACAUUGCGUAUGAUGAGCAUGUUCUUGAUCCAGCACCUAACGGGGAUCGUGUAUUAUUUGCUGAUUAUGGUGGAAUCACUUGGGAUCAUUUCAGAUACAGCCAGCAAUUGGCCUUUGAUAUUGAUCAUAAUACAUUGUCAGGAGGUAUGCCAACUCUUCCUGGAGAGCGGGGCAGAGAUCCUUUUUAUCUAGCUGCUGAGAUAACUCAGAAGGCAAGUAGAUCUUUAAUCAUGCUUUUAAGGAAGAUUGAACUAGAAGGUAAUUGUGUUGAACUUCUUGAUCAUACCAAAGUCCGUGUCUAUGAGAACGGAUAGGUAAGGCUGUCACGCGCCUGUUUUCUGACAAAUCAAGAUUUAAGUGAUGCAGAAAUUGAGAAUCAUCUAAGGCUUAAUUAUAGGGCAGCAGUGGAUAUGAUUUUUAUGUUGUUUGAUGUCAAUGGCAAUGGGCAGUAUUGGCUACCACCAGAUAUGGAUCACCUACUUGGAUUGAUGUGGAAUAAUUUUGGGGAUCGGGGAAUUUAUGCCAUACAUGCUGCUCUUGUACCUAUGGUUUUGUAUCCCCACUUGUUUAAGGAACUGCACGAUUUCAUUUCAGCUAAGAUUAGGGAUUCGGAAUACCAUGACAUCUGUGUUGCACUAGUUGCUAAUGCUCCUGAUUGAAGAUGUGAAGUUCAUAAUAAUGACCUCCUUUGUGAAAUAUAUUUUUUUAGACAAGGUUUGAAUUAUGUUGUUCCAUACAACUACCCAAAUCAACUUCAUAUCAGACGUGAUCAACUAGCUGCUCUUCAGGAAGUUAGUUUGAUAAAUUAGAAUGCAUCGAGGCUAACACAGCGUGAGAUUGAUAUUAUUAAUGGCCAUAAGCUUUUGAAGUUCAUGAGAAAUCGGUUGGCUCACUGUAUGGAAGCUAUACAAGCCGGCUAUACGACUUGGAAUCAGCAGUUUCAGUAUGAUUUCUCAGCUAUCAGUAGUGAGACGGUAACUAGAGUGAAAUUUCCUCUAGUUCUGGCUCAAAUUCAGAUUAAUCUUCAUCAUAUAGGGCAUGAUUUGGAGGGACUUGGGUUGGAUAACUUGUUUGGGAGAACUGGAUAACUUGUUCUAAAUGUCCUCUCAGGUAACUUGUGAUUAUGAGCUAUGCAAUUUCUAUGUUGUGUAUGCUGUGUGCUAGUGCGGAGGACUGGAGUUAGCAAGGUGGAGUGGCUUGUUAGCUUUUUGGCCUUCUACGAGACACUCUAUUUAACCCCCUGUGGGACUAUGUAACCCGUAAUUGGUAGUAGUCUUUUUUAUUAUAGCCACUUUUUUCAAUGCAAAUAUAGUCAUAAGCACAAAAGCUUUUGGUAUGUCAUAUCUCUCGGCUGAAUGUUUGGUCUUUAUUAAUUAUACUACUUUCUGCAUGUAUAUGCUAAUAAUUAGCCUUGCUCACUAUUGAGAAGAGGGAGGGGAGCACCUCUAUUUAUAGGCGCUCAUGAUCAUUGUAGUGUUGCCAUGUGGCAACUUCCACUCUCUUCAAUACAAAAUAUCCUAACUCUAGAACCCUCAUCAUCCUUAUCUAGUUUCUAAUAUUUCUACCAUGCUAAAAUAUCUAGUUCUAGAGUAUUCUACACUUCACCAUGAAGCAUGACAAUUAUGGCUCAUGCAUUCUCUCUAAUUUUCUAGAACCUUCCUACCUUGCCACGAUCUUAUCCAUAUACAUGGUAAAGUUAGUCUCUUUGGAUCUUCACAAUCUUCUAGAAUGUUGUAAGUAUGCAUUGCAUAUUUCAACACUCACCCCAUACACGCACUGUAUUAAACUAGUUGCAUGCAGCAAAAGACUUGUUGGAUCAUAUAUUUAUUUCGUGUUUGACUCUGUAGCAGCUACGAGCUCCCAACCCGCACCCCGUGCCAUUCCAGCGACAUUGUGGCGUUAGUGGCCAGGACACCCAAAAAAGGUAUGCAACUAUUUUCAUUCCUAGCCAAUAAAUAAGAUGAAGUGUGUAGGAUCGGUAUACAAUUGUUCAUUCCAGUAGUAGUAGUUUAUUCUUUUUGUCAUGGAUCAAUGAAAGUAGCUAGAGUAGUCAGUCAAUAAAUAGGGUGGGAAAAUAAAUAUUCCUGGUGGAUGGCAUAACCAACCGCCAGCACAAAAUUUCUCUGCGCUAGCGCGUGGUUAUGCCAACCGCCAGCAUGGAAUUUCAUUGUGCUGGCGCGUGGUUAUGCCACCCGACAGCACAAAGACCCACCGUGCUGGCGGGUGGUUAUAUCACCCGCCAGCACAGAGAGCCAUUGUGCAGGCAAGACCUCUUUGCUGGCGGGCAAGCACCUGCCAGCAUAUACCGCUAUUUUUUCUGGUUCAAAGUUCCUGGCGGGUGUGCCGCCCGCUAGCACAGUGACCAUUUACCCGCUAGUACAAAUGUUUUCUGGAGUAGUGGUUACUGCAUCAACUUGUUGAUAUAUGGACGAGAUAACACUCUAUGACAGGUCAGCACCUUUUCCAGUGUCAAUGGAACCAAAGUAUGGUGGAGGCUUGUUGUUAUCAGUGGUGGCCGUGGCGCACGUGGUGGUGACUGUGGAAGUUAGUUAUCAUGUGAAGCUACGAUUUGAGAUUAGUAGAGGCAAGGAAGAAGCUGGGUGUGGGGUUAGUAGGCAUGCCAGGCCAUCGUGAUGGGCAGGAUGUUCAAGGUAGCUGCGAAGGUAUCAGCCUUGUACGUGCUGUAUCUGAUAACGCUGCGAUCCACGUACCUCGCCGGUUUCAAGAGCAACUUCAGAGAAGGUAUCUGAUUUCAUGUUGAUCCUUGCAAGUUUGGAUAUAGGAAAUCUCAUGUUUGUUAGCUAAUUAGCUUGGAGUGGCUACUCUUCUUGGGAGUAACUUGUUUAUCUCAAUUCAGGGACCGAGGCUAUUGCCCCCAAGAAGAGUGCUGCUGCUGCUGCCAACUAAGUCAUGAUCGAUAUCCCCAUUGAAGAACCUUGGAAGCAACGAGUUGAGAACUUUUGGUUGAAUUGUACUAUCUCAUCUCUAUCUAGCCACAAUACUGUGAAAGCACUAGUUUGCCUGUACUUUAAAAUUAAAGUCAGAUGAAGAACAUCUGAAUUCGCUGCUCCUUAGUUUGAUGUCAUUUUGGUGAUCUGUGCAUGCGUUUCUGAGCAAUUUUAGGCAUAAAAAAUUCUUUUUGGUGAGCUAUGACCCCCACGCCACGUGUGACAUUGACAAGAAGGUCCGUUACAUGGGCCGGCCAACCUGAGCCUCACAAGGAAAUUAGGCAUUAUUGUUGGGUGGGUUCGUCCGUUGGUAUAGAAGCCCAAUGGCCCAAACUGCAUGCAUAUGGCCUCGUCGCAUACAAGUGCACCCUAAAUCAGCAUUGGUCCCUGGAAUCUGGAAGCCGCCGGAUCGCCGCCGCCUCCGCUCCCGCACGCCUCCGCCUCUUCUCUCCUUGCCGGCCGCCGCCUCCUUCUUCGUCGGUAAGGCACCUCAUCACCUUACAGAGAUCAUCCCCCGAUUUGUUCACCUCCGCCGACUUCCCCAACUGGGUGAUGCUGGAGCCCUUCGUGUUCCGCAGGGACGACGACAAGUCUUUCCCGAACGAGAGCAAGGCGCCCGUCAGGGCGUCCGGCACCACCUCCUGGCAAGCCCAGUUCCGUUUCGCCUUCGACCUCGCGGAGCCCCCGCGCAUCUCCCAGGCUUUCCGGGUCCCAGGAAAGGGAGGCCCUUAGCCAUGGUGUUGACGCACCGCCAUCUUGCCCUGUUUAGCGUCGAUACGUGUUGACGAGAACCUAUUCAUCUACAGCGCCAAGUCUUCCUCGCUCGAAAGGCUCCCCUGUUGUACCGAGGAUUUGGAACUUGUCCUCCACGAUGGCAGCCCAUCUCGUCGCCCUCGUGAAUCGGGGUCGCGCCUGCAGUUUGUCAGUUCCAUGGGCCUCUUGUGCCAAGGCGAGGAAGAAGAAGAGUUCGCGGUGGCGGAGCUGAAGCUCUACCCGGACAGACGCAAGCGUAAGAUCUUCGCCGACAUCUUCCUAUUCUUGAAGUCAGCCGGCAAAUGGAGCUCUUCGCGUGUACCCAUCCUCCACAGCGGCAAUCCUGAUGAUUUGUGGCAUCUCUACAUCUGGCAGGCCCACAGGGUCAUCCCUGUGGACCGCUGGCUAUGCUGGAUUGACUGUAUGCAAGCAUCCUCUUCUACGAUGUGUUUGCGGCGGCACCGGCUACUAUCUCCUUAUUCCGCUUCUCCGUGCACAAGUUCCCUGCUACUCAUCCCAAUCGUGGCAGCUGGUUUCACUGUGGUGUGUCUGCCUUUGAUGCUGCCGGUACGCUCAAGUUCGUUGAUGUCACCCGCGAUGAUGGCAUUACUGGCUACAAGGCACUCAAGCCCGGUGCUGGCUUCACCAUGACCUGCCACACCCUUCUCCUCCCAUCGUCUCUAAGCAGUAGCAGCAUGGUGUGGAACAAGGACUGGACAGUCACCUCUGAUGAGCUCUGGAGUACUGAUGAUUGCCUCCCGCGCCAGGUUCCCAUGUUCCCCCAAGUGAACAUCGACAGGCCACAUCUAGUGCAUUUGCUUAUCAGCGACUUCACAUACGUGAUGAGGAAGAUGUGGGUGGUCACCAUUGACAUGAACACCAGGACCGUCGAGUCAUUUUAUCAGUAUCUCAAUGGUCAGGAGGACAUUGGAACUGAGCAGGAGUUCUUGACCGACCAAAAGUCCGUGUGUCCCAGUUCCUUCCUCCCCAGUGAGUUCUCCAAGUACCUUUCCUCAAGGUAAUACUAAUUGCUAGCUGCUGGCAUUUAUCUAUCUUUCACCUAGCUGCUCAUUAGUAGGUUUUUGCUGGUUAAUUGCAUGUUUAAUUUGUCCCUUGCAUUGCAUAUAUGCAAGUUGUUCACCACAUAUUAAUCAAUCGUUAGCAUUUCACUUCAAUCUUUAAUCAAGUGUUUGUUUUUGGCAAUUCUUUCCUAAGUAAAUAUAUAUAGCACAACUAAUAAUUUGGGACGCAAUGGCAGUAUUUUCCUCUAGUAUAUGUUGUCUUAACUUAAUUGUGACUAUACUGUGCAUGCAUCAUUACAAAUCAUUGUCACAAAACAUAAAUCAUGUGACGGUUUGGACCAAGUACAUAAUAAAUGAGAGUGAUCACAAUGUACAUUGGUAAUUUUGUACAAUCAUAAUGUACGCUUGUGGCCAUGCAAGGUCAAAUUCCAAACAAACUGCCAAACACACAGAGAAAAAACUACAUUAGUGUGUUAUCAAUGUAUUACUACUAGCCUGCAUGUUUUCAGAAGAACAAACCAACCACAAGAUCACAUUUUGAAUUAAUCUCAAGUCAUCAUUCAUCAUCUGUCAAGUUCUCCAAAAGCGCCAAAUUCUGCAUUUUGAGGAUCCUCAUGUUGAGCUCAACUUGGCGAUUGAUUGCUGUAUGCCUGUGUCAUGAUUAUCAUGGAAGCCAUCAACGGGAGCUAAUGAAUUACAAAUGAAUUUCCACUAUAUCUUCAAGGGCUGAGAUGUGCUUUUGGGCUGUGUCAAGCACAAUUAUGUUGCUUAUGGGCUAAAAAUAAGCAGCUCCAUGAGCAACACAAUAUUUGCUUAUGCAUAAGCAACUCAAACCAAACACCCCCUUAUUUUUAGCCCAUAAGCAAGUUGCUUAUUGGAGCUAAAAGACACUCUUUACCCCCUGCUCUCAUUAAAUGAGGAGUGAGAAAUGAGAUAGCAUAUAUAAUUAUUAGGGGCAAACAUGUUAAAAUCAACCUCAUUCAAUGCAUAAGCAACUCAAACCAAACACCUUUGCUUAUGUAACUUAUUUGAAAUAAACAACUACAAAUAAGCAACUUAUUUACUUAUGCAUAAGCAAUGUAAACCAAACAGGCCCUGAUUUGAUUUUUAUUAUAUGUAGGGUCUACCUUUGCAUAAAGUUUUAUACGUGGGAGCUUCCUUGUGAUGUGUCUGGCCUUGCACCUUGCUAAUAAAACAAAAGGCUGUCCUUAUAAAAUAAUUCACGGUGUGGGACAUGAUACAUUUAUAGCGAGGGCAGCUCUAUUGCGGGGUUUUUGAUGGUGCGAAGAGGAGAGAGAAGGAGAUAGCACCAUGGGUAAACACUCGAGCAAAAUUUGCACGAGGUGCUAAUCAAAUAUGAGUAUAUGCCACUGUUUAAGGAGAGAAGAAAGAAUCUUCACAUUAACUAAUUAUCAAUGUGUCCGUAGGAUCCACUUUGAACAACAAAAUAGUGGUAAAUGCUAGAGCAUUUUUUUGAUAGGGUAGAUCGAGGACGCCACGACCCACACACACCACAUGCACACACGUGUGCGCGUCCUCACACACACACCCACACCAGGGAGGGAUUGGGAGGCUGAACGCGCACGCGCCUGCCUGUACCUAGCCUGGAACCCAUCCCGGUGGGACACGCGAGCGUUGAUCCUAGAGGUCGAAGUCGCGCCUGGCUGCUCGCGCAUACGGCGAGCGGACCAACCGAGCUACGUUUGGUCCUCACUAGAGCAGUUUUUUGUAAGAUUUUUUUUAUAAAUUUGCAGAAAUAAAUACCCGUGAAAAAAAAUUAGCAGAUCUAGAGAUAUACAUUCGAAUGAAAUGACUGUAGCCAUUUCAGAGGACGGUAGCGGAUGUACUCUUGGGUUGGCUUAGAAAGUGGAGGAUCAACCCACGUCGCAUAGCGGCAGUUUUCUUCAUCGAGAUAAGAUUGAAAAUGAUGUUAGUUGUGGCACGAAAAAAGUCUAGAAAAAAGUAACAAAGUAAUAACUUGACUCACCAAGCCAUACGGGCAUCGAAAGAAACGUCGUCUACCGUCACCAUAGCCAUCAAACAACUGCACCAUGCAAGCCACAUCAUGGCGACACAUUGGCCACGCAUCAUGGCAGUCAUCAUAAAGCCUAAGGGAGUUUGGAGGGAUGUAGUUAGCCCUAUCAUGCAGAGGGAAGUCAUCAAGGGGUUCCUCAUACUCCGUUGGGCUAAAAGAACUAAGCCAAGUGAUGGUGGAAAUAAGAGCAUCACCUCCUCUUCCCCUCCUCCCACGAUCUCUCUCUUGCGGAUGUUAUUGUUCUUCCUUGUACUCAGUUUUGUGGAAGGAUAUGGGACAGGGGAACCUACCGCCCAACCAAACAGCGGCCGUCGUUAGAUCGGGUCUAGAUCUGCUAAUUUUUUAUACGGGUAUUUAUUUCUGCAAAUUCAUAAAAGGAAAAAAAGAAAAAAAUAAAAAAAAUCAUUUUGGAGCUCCAUGGGCCGUUACAUGGGCUGGCCCUCCUCCUCCCAUCGUCUCUAAGCAGUAGCAGCAUGGUGUGGAACAAGGACUGGACAGUCACCUCUGAUGAGCUCUGGAGUAAUGAUAAUUGCCUCCCGCGCCAGGUUCCCAUGUUCCCCCAAGAUAACAUCGACAGGCCACAUCUAGUGCAUUUCCUUAUCAGCGACUUCACAUACGUGAUGAGGAAGAUGUGGGUGGUCACCAUUGACAUGAACACCAGGACCGUCGAGUCAUUUUAUCAGUAUCUCAAUGGUCAGGAGGACAUUGGAACUGAGCAGGAUCAGUUCUUGACCGACCAAAAGUCCGUGUGUCCCAGUUCCUUCCUCCCCAGUGAGUUCUCCAAGUACCUUUCCUCAAGGUAAUACUCAUUGCUAGCUGCUGGCAUUUAUCUAUCUUUCACCUAGCUGCUUAUUAGUAGGUUUUUGCUGGUUAAUUGCAUGUUUAAUUUGUCCCUUGCAUUGCAUAAAUGCAAGUUGUUCACCACAUAUUAAUCAAUCGUUAGCAUUUCACUUCAAUCUUUAAUCAAGUGUUUGUUUUUGGCAAUUCUUUCCUAAGUAAAUAUAUAUAGCACAACUACUUUACCAAGCACCUUCAUUUGCAUGCUAGCUUUCUCUUGCUAACAGAAUCAAUGCAAGUUUGAUUUGAACAUCAUCCAUCUAGAUUGCUUUUUCACAGUAUUUAUGUAUUUCAUUGCAGGACGGUGGAAUGAGUCGCAUCAAUAUAUUUGGUUCCACAAGAUAGUAAGGCUUCUGUUGUGUUUGUCAACAUGUUGAAGGAUGAACGGAUAAGUUAUAUCAAUAAGUUUGUGGAAGUGUGUUCCGUAGGUUCGUCAAAGAUGUUGGUGUGUCGAGCUUAAAGUACAAUCUUUAAAUUGUGUAAUUGUGUGGAUGUGUCACGUGGUACUUGAACCUGUGUGUGUUAUGCCAAGUUUGCAUGUGAAAGUUAAGCUCUACUGCUCCCUCCGUCCCAAAUUAUUAGUCGUUUUAGCUUUUUCUAGAUUCAUAGAUUUUGCUAUGCACCUAGAUAUAUAUUAUGUCUAGAUACAUGUUAAAAGGUAUGAACCUAGAAAAACCAAAGUGACUAAUAAUUUGGGACAGAGUGAGUAGUAUGUUACCCGUGCUAACUCAAUGGCAGUAUUUUCCUCUAGUAUAUGUUGUCUUAACUUAAUGUGACUAUAUUGGAUACCCGAGCUAUCCAAUGUGCAGCUGAACCAGGGAGUCGAGGAUAGAGUAUCGUGGAGAUGGGAUGCAUAUGGAGUCUACUCCGCUCGAUCAGCCUAUCGUGCCUUCUUCUUUGGGGCAACGAAGUUCGCUGCAGCUAACCUGAUAUGGAAAUCAUGGGCACCUUUGAAGCUGAAAUUGUUCAUCUGGCUAGCAAUUAAGGAGCGCUUGUGGACGGCAGACAGAAGGCACUUGCAAGGAAACACUAACUAUAUUGCACUUUUUGCGACCAGGAGUUAGAAACAGCAGCGCAUUUGCAUAUCACCUGUCCGUUUGCAAACGAGGUUUGGCACAUUGUUUUGUCUGAACUGCACAUACAGAACAUUGCCGUGCUACCUGAAACUUCUUUAACGGAAUGCUGACUGCGCAAACGGCAAGGCACGAGUAGAUCAUUGAGAAAAGGGAUGGACUCUAUGUUCAUGUUGAUCUCCUGGAUGAUUUGGAGACAUCGGAACGACAGGGUCUUUGAUAGAGCUCCCAACAAAACUCCUUUGCAACUAAGUGAUCCAGGACGAAGAAGGAGCCAAACAUUUAGCGUUGUUCCAAUGGCCGCGGCAGCAGCAGGACUCUGCAAGGGUAGCCUAUUGGGUUGGUUUGUAGCCCCUGUGUACAACGGAAGCUUAUGUUGUCUUGUAAUCUAAAACUAGCUACCUAAAAAAAUCGUGUGCGUGAGCCGGUAGACCCAUGUUGUAAAAUUAUUUUAUCUCUUCUUAAUACGAAGGUACGCAUGCGUAUUCUCGAAAAAAAAGAGCAGUUACAACGUGACGAACUGAAUUUCUACUUCCUCAAGCUGGCAAAAAUCUGGCUAAACUUUACCAAAUAAAUUCUUUUUCCUCCACUCAAGCUGACAAAAAUCUGGCUAAACUUUACCGAAGCAGUGUAUUCCAAACUGUUUGCCCACCUUUCAAUGUUGGAGUACAAGUGAUUGCCCACAUUUUACUACUAGCUUAAGAUUUUGGGUUGAACAUGUUUGUGCAUGCAACUCAAUAUGGUAUCAGGCCCAGAGGUCUCGGGUUCGAAUCCUAGCGGGCGUGCUUAAAUAAAAUAAUUGCAGCCCACUCACAUAUGUUGCUUAACGGAGCCUUGCGUGUGAGGGUGUGAGUUGGAGCAUAAGUGAAUUGCCCACUUUUCCUCAUCACCUUUUGGGUUGAACUGGGUGGUGCAUGCAAAUCAAUACAAAUGAGAAGCACCCAGCCAUAUGUAACACCAAUGGUGUUUACAGCAGGUCAAGCUCCACUUAAGAAACUAAUGAGGAGAAAUAUAAAGAAAAAAAGGAAAAAAGACAUGAAGACUUCGUCAAACAAGGUCAAAUAGGAGACUUGACCAAGUCAACCAUGCUGAAUUCAGGUCAAAAAGUGAUUUUGGAUCAAAGUGACAAUUUACAGUGGAUCAAGUUCAAAUCCAGUUUGAAAUUUCAAAUCUGAACUCAAGGUGCGAAAGUUGCCAAUAUGACCAAGUACCUAUGUUUGGAUCCAGAUUUGAAAAGAUUUCAUAUGGAAACUUGGGAGAAUGUUCUUGUGAAAGUUGGAGUGAAAUGUUUGUUGAGAAUUUUAUGUUAGUUUUUGUUCACAGAAAAUGAUGUUGAAACAUUUUAAAUGGAGCUCAAAAUUUGAACUCAGUGUUGUUUUGGACCUAGGCAGAUUGGCAUUGGGAGUCCUGAAACUGAAAGUGAGAUAUUGAGUUCAUGGCCGGCAUUUCAGAGACUUGUAUCAUGUAGAUCGUUGGUCCAGCUGGAACUUUGUUUAAGGGUUCUUGUCAAGCUCAUGUUUGAAAUUGAACAAGAAUCAUUUGAGAAGGGGCGGCAUUUUUGUACACUUUGGAGUAGCAGUCGAUGGCAGCAACAGCAGCACACCAACAUCACAGCGCCGCCGCCACCACUCAAGCCGCCGCGGUGAAUAUCAUCAUGCCGCCACGCGCCACCAAGAGAAGAAGCCACGAGCAAGCAGGUAGGCAGGAGCUAGCCAUGGAGAUAACGGUGAAGGAUUCAAAUAUUCACAGCGCCCGGCGUCGUCGUCAUCCUUUCUUCUUGCUCCCGCCCAGUUCGCCACCACACCUCGUCGCCGUCGCCGUCACCGUCGAGCCUCUGCCGGUCGAUUCCUCCCGCACACCGUGACGUAAUAACCUCAUGAGCAGCACCAACAGCCUCUCGUCCGACGUCAUCGACCCAAGCGUCGCCGCUGACCCUCCCCUAUUCCAACAGCCGCCAUCGACACCCCCACGGUGAGACCCCCCUUCCCGGCCCUCUCCGCUCAAGGUAGCUGCAGGGGUGAUUUCACCGGAGCUCAUGGAAGCUCGUGCGCGCUCCCGUUGGAGGAGAGCCUGGCUAGGGUGGCCGGAACGCCCAACCCUAGCCAGUGCGCGCCGCGGCCAUGGCCGCCGGUGGGGCGGACUCGCUUGAGCUUUGCUCCGGGGAUGUGAGCAGGGGCAGGAGAUGAUCGAGGUCGCGUAGACGCUCUAGUUCCGGUCCUUGUCCAGGGUUUGGCCGCCGUUUCGACCGGAGCCUCCGCGCCACCAUCGCACCGCCGCCGCGGCUGCAGGACCUCCCACCUCCACCUAGUCUAACGGAGGCUAUCGCUAGCAUGCUUGGAUCGCUAGCUGAAAGCGUGCGGUGUCCUUUAUAAGCACGCGUUACAACUGGUGUUAACAACCAAACACCGUAAACAAAAUUUAAUACGAUAUCCGACGUAACCAAACAAAAACUGGUAACAACGCAGAGACAAAUCAUUUGGCGAUAGUGGUGGCGCUUGGAUUCGAUCGGAUUACCACCAGUUCAUCUGCAAAAAUCUGGCUGAAUUAUAUAUACUAAAGCUCCUUGCAAAUGACAGGCGGCUAGCCAUCGAUAGACAGAACGCAAAAGAGCUUUCAUAGUAAAUUGCUCAGAAAACCAUUCGCUGCUACUAAAUACAGAACAACGAAUUCUGAUGUUCGUCUGACUUUAAUUUAAAAGUACGGCAAACCAGUGCUUUCAUAGUAUUACAGAGUUCAGGCAGAGUACAAUUCAACCAAAAAAAGUUCCCAACUUCUAGCUUCCGAGGUUAUCAAUUUGUAGCAGCGGCGGCACUAUUCUUGGGGCUAGCCUCGGUCCAUGGAUUGAAGUAAACAAGUUAUCAAUUUGUAGCCACAAUCCGAUCUUCACCAAAGAAAAAUGAUAUUUUCCAUGCCCAAAGUUGCUCUUGAAUCGGUGAGGAAGGUGUCGCAGGUACCUCAUCCUUCCUGUUCCAAUGGUCUUGCGCCUGAUGGCCUUCACACUCCAGUUAUCUGAAUUGAUGCAACCACCAUGUUAACAUCCAGGAUUGGAGACAUGAUAACCAAACUAUAUAGGAAGUGCAAUCAGACAGCUUAAUCCAACAACCAAGUAAACAAAUAGCAAGGUUAGCUUUAAUGCUUGACAACUGGAUUGCAAACCUAAACCAAUUAGAUGAACACUUGAAGGAAAAACAUGUAAAGGCAAAUGUUACAACAGAAACAGAUAUUAGUUUUUUUUCCCAGAAGAUAGAUUGCAAAUAGAAUACAAAACAAAAUGCUGAGGUAUCAUCAGAGACUUAAAUACUUGGGAAUCAUUAAAGAAUUUUAACUUCAUCAUAUUGUUGCAGUUUAAUUUCAAAGAAGUAAAGCAAAACAGAUACAGUUGCAGCACAAUGAGGGCCAAAUACUAAAUGCUGAAAAAAAUUCAAAUAGAGUAACAGUGACACAAUCAGAAUAAAGUAGUAUGGUGCUGCGCAGGGCAUGAAAUAUAUUCUCAUUGCAUGGCACCUCUGAAGUCUGGAAGUCGCAAGGGAAAAAAUUGACAAAAACAAACUUCCAAAAAUAACAAAAGAGGGAUCAUCAAGAGACUUAAAUACUUAAGAAUCAUAGGAGUAUUAUUACUCCCAUCAUAUUGUUGCAGUUUUGUUACUCAUCACUUGACCCCCGACAGUGGAAGCAGGCCAAAAAGGUAUUUAAACGGAUUGCAAACUCAUGUAACAUAUACAAAUUAAGCAGACCUAUACGACUCAUGUACUAAUUGCAGGGAACAUUUCCAAAAGAGUUAGAUUGAGGAAGUAGCCAGAAACAUUUGGGUUGAAAUUAUGAAACCAGUGAAUAAUCACUGUAAAGUAGCACACCGCUGCUCAGAACAUGAAAUAUCUUCUCAUCAAUGCAAUUGACAUGCGAUUACAUUUUCAUGAUUCAUCAUAGCGAUUUGACCGGUAGGAAAAACAAAAUCAAGGAGCAGAUAGAUACACAAAAGUAAAUACAGUGAGGUAUCUAACUGAGAGCAACGUCCAAACAAGGCACAAAAAGAAUACACUUUUCGCAGACUGGGAUCAUUUUGAAACAACACAUCGUUGUCGGUCACGGAUAAUCAGAAACACGGACCAAUGGUUUUCUUCAUCCUUUCCCGCAAUGAACAAAUUCAUCAUAUAUGCUAAACAGAAAGCACAUAACCAGGCAGGAAAUCCAGUAACGGACAUGCAUAUAACCACGCAUCCCUAAUAAGAAGCAAAAACUAAUAGCAGGCCAUCAAACUUUCAGUUCAUAGAAACAUCCUCCACGCUCCACAUGACACGGUAAGUAGGUCAUCUAACAAGAUGUGUUGACGUCUACCACAGCAAUCCGCAAGCUAAUGUAACACGGAACAGCAUAUACAAUUAGGGCAUGUCAACGCAACUUGAACGGAGAACACCAAACCCAUACAGAUCUAGCGAGCCAACAAGUUCAGUUCAGAGGAAUUUCAACAGGACAUCCUAAUUUUACAUGCUUAAUUUUCAACCAGGGGCUGGAAGUGAUGAACCUUUCGUAAAACUAAAGAACAUGUUCCUCUUGCUGAUGCACCAGCAGCUGCUCCUCUUAUUGAUACACCAGCAGAAACUGUGACUCUGCCUUCCAAACCUGAGAAACUGAAGCACCAGCCAAGGUACAUCCAAAAGACCACUUAGUUUAAUUACAGAACUCAUCCGACGAAAUGUCACUUUGUCUUCCCAAUUUGUAAAACUGAUUUUGCAAAUGGGAUAGAAUGACAAGGAAACCGACUUGAACAACCCUCUCCAUACCCUUUGUAUUGAACCCUUUGCCAGUUAUGUUGGCACUGUGAUUAAGCCACCAUAAAAGCCUGUCCAAGCGAUGCGCACUGGUAUUCCUCAGGAACUCCAAAAAUUGGAAAGCUACAUACAUUCUCAGCUGCACAUCUGAAAGUUGUUUCUGAUUCUUCACAGGUUCCAACCCCAAGUAUUUUAGAGCCAUUUUCUCUGCAUUAUUCAAACACAUUUGAUUGGGAUUGGGCAAUGGAGGCCGGUAGCUAUUCUUGAAGUGAAGCACUUCAUCAAGUAUCACAUUAUCCUGUACCAUGAACUGCCAGUAUAUACUAGUUUUUUCAACCCCCUUGCCAUCCACAAAUUUCACAUCCUUUACAUAUUCAUCCAUUGAUUGUAACAACUAUCUUAACUGAUCUUUCUCCAGCCCAUGCCGAGCAAUAAAUUUUUUUUGAAAUUCGUAAAUUAAACGUACAUUUGCUUAUAGAACCCGCCAUAAGCCACUUCAUUGAGCAGGGAAGUGUGAACGUGCCACAUCUCGCGAAACUCAUCAUUGCGAAUCAGCGCUAAUAGAUGACUAAUGCUCGCAGGAGGCCUCCUAGCAUACACCACAUCAGAAAUAAUAUCAUGGGCAACAAUGGAAUUCUUUCUAGUGGCCUGAGCAGACUCUUCAGAGAUAAGGUUCCUCAGAACCUGGACGUCCUUGUACAUUGCAUCACCAAAAUCUGUAACAACUAUGUUCUUCUCAUCAAAAUCAGAAUAACACUGACCCUUCUUCCAAUUCUCCCACAAGGGCUUUAGAAUGGAUCGCACAAUUCUUUUGCUUGCAUCUGUAGCGAUAUCAUGGAUUUCCAUUUGAGACAACUCUCCUGGUAGCAAACUGAAUGUUUGGUCUUUAUUAAUUAUACUACUUUCUGCAUGUAUAUGUUAAUAAUUGGCCUCGCUCACUGUUGAGAAGAGGGAAGGUCCUUUUACUUGCUUCACUACUUGUUUCAAACACAGCAACUUCAUCCUAGCAUAAGGUCCUCACGAACAUAAUAAUAUUCAAUUAUUGUUGAGUUAUUUAUGUGGUGUAGUCUUUUUAUUAUAGCCACUUUUUUCAAUGCAAAUAUAGUCAUAAGCACAAAAGCUUUUGGUAUGUCAUAUCUCUUGGCUGAAUGUUUGGUCUUUAUUAAUUAUACUACUUUCUGCAUGUAUAUGCUAAUAAUUGGCCUCGCUCACUGUUGAGAAGAGGGAGGGGAUCACCUCUAUUUAUAGGCGCUCAUGAUCAUUGUAGUGUUGCCAUGUGGCAACUUCCACACUCUUCAAUACAAAAUAUCCUAACUCUAGAACCCUCAUCAUCCUUAUCUAGUUUCUAAUAUUUCUACCAUGCUAAAAUAUCUGGUUCUAGAGUAUUCUACACUUCACCAUGAAACAUGACAAUUAUGGCUCAUGCAUUCUCUCUAAUUUUCUAGAACCUUCUUACAUUGCCACGAUCUUAUCCAUAUACAUGGUAAAGUUAGUCUCUUUAGAUCUCCACAAUCUUUUAGAAUGUUGUAAGUAUGCAUUGCAUAUUUCAACACUCACCCCAUACACGCACUGUAUUAAACUAGUUGCAUGCAGCAAAAGACUUAUUGGAUCAUAUAUUUAUUUCGUGUUUGACUCUGCAGCAGCUACGAGCUCCCAACCCGCACCCCGUGCCAUUCUAGCGACAUUGUGGCGUUAGUGGCCAGGACACCCAAAAAAGGUAUGCAAUUAUUUUCAUUCCUACCCAAUAAAUAAGAUGAAGUGUGUAGGAUCGGUAUACAAUUGUUCAUUCCAGUAGUAGUAGUUUAUUCUUUUUGUCAUGGAUCAAUGAAAGUAGCUAGAGUAGCCAGUCAAUAAAUAGGGUGGGAAAAUAAAUAUUCCUGGUGGAUGGCAUAACCAACCGCCAGCACAAAAUUUCUCUGCGCUAGCGCGUGGUUAUGCCAACCGCCAGCAUGGAAUUUCAUUGUGCUGGCGUGUGGUUAUGCCACCCGACAGCACAAAGACCCACCGUGCUGGCGGGUGGUUAUAUCACCCGCCAGCACAGAGAGCCACUGUGCAGGCAAGACCUCUGUGCUGGCGGGCAAGCACCAGCCAGCAUAUACCGCCAUUUUUUCUGGUUCAAAGUUCCUGGCGGGUGUGCCGCCCGCUAGCACAGUGACUAUUUACCCGCUAGUACAAAUGUUUUCUGGAGUAGUGGUUACUGCAUCAACUUGUUGAUAUAUGGACGAGAUAACACUCUAUGACAGGUCAGCACCUUUUCCAGUGCCAAUGGAACCGAAGUAUGGUGGAGGCUUGUUGUUAUCAGUGGUGGCCGUGGCGCACGUGGUGGUGACUGUGGAAGUUGGUUAUCAUGUGAAGCUACGAUUUGAGAUUAGUAGAGGCAAGGAAGAAGCUAGGUGUGGGGUUAGUAGGCAUGCCAGGCCAUCGUGAUGGGCGGAAUGUUCAAGGUAGCUACGAAGGUAUCAGCCUUGUACGUGCUGUAUUUGAUACCGCUGCGAUCCACGUGCCUCGCUGGUUUCAAGAGCAACUUCAGAGAAGGUACCUGAUUUCAUGUUGAUCCUUGCAAGUUUGGAUAUAGGAAAUCUCAUGUUUGUUAGCUAAUUAGCAUGGAGUGGCUACUCUUCUUGGGAGUAACUUGUUUAUCUCAAUUCAGGGACCGAGGCUACUGCCCCCAAGAAGAGUGCUGCUGCUGCUGCCAACUAAGUCAUGAUCGAUGUCCCCAUUGAAGAACCUCGGAAGCAACGAGUUGAGAACUUUUGGUUGAAUUGUACUAUCUCAUCUCUAUCUAGCCACAAUACUGUGAAAGCACUAGUUUGCCUGUACUUUAAAAUUAAAGUCAGAUGAAGAACACCUGAAUUCGCUGCUCCUUAGUUUGAUGUCGUUUUGGUGAUCUGUGCAUGCGUUUCUGAGCAAUUUUAGGCAUAAAAAAAUUUCUUUUUGGUAAGCUAUGACCCCCACGCCACGCGUGACAUUGACAAAAGGAAGGUCCGUUACAUGGGCCGGCCAACCUGAGCCUCACAAGGAAAUUAGGCGUUAUUGUUGGGUGGGUUCGUUCGUUGGUAUAGAAGCCCAGUGGCCCAAACUGCAUGCAUAUGGCCUCGUCGUAUACAAGUGCACCCUAAAUCAGCAUUGGUCCCUGGAAUCUGGAAGCCGCCGGAUCGCCGCCGCCUCCGCUCCCGCAUGCCUCCGCCUCUUCUCUCCUUGCCGGCCGCCGCCUCCUUCUUCAUCGGUAAGGCACCUCAUCACCUUACAGGGAUCAUCUCCCGAAUUGUUCACCUCCGCUGGUUUCCCCAACUGGGUGAUGCUGGAGCCCUUCGUGUUCCGUAGGGACGACGACAAGUCUUUCCCGGACGAGAGCAAGGCGCCCGUCAGGGCGUCCGGCACCACCUCCUGGAAAGCCCAGUUCCAUUUCGCCUUCGAUCUCACGGAGCCCCCGCGCAUCUCCCGCCUCUACGCGCAGCUGCCGGGCUUCCCGGGUCCCAGCAAGGAGAGGCCCUUAGCCAUGGCGGUGACGCACCGCCAUCUCGCCCUGUUUCGCGUCGGUACCAUGAGUCCAUGGCAGCUUCAGAACCUAUUCAUCUACAGCGCCAAGUCUUCCUCGCUCGAAAGGCUCCCGUGUUGUAUCGAGGAUUUGGAACUUGUCCUCCAGGAUGGCAGCCCAUCUCGUCACCCUCGUGAAUCGGGGUCGCGCCUGCAGUGCACCAGUUCCAUGGGCCUUUGUGCCAUGGCGAGGAAGAAGAAGAGUUCGCGGUGGCAGAGCUGAAGCUCUACCCGGACAGACACUCUUUACCCCCUGUUCUCAUUAAAUGAGGAGUGAGAAAUGAGAUAGCAUGUAAUUAUUAGGGGCAAACAUGUCAAAAUCAACCUCAUUCAAUGCAUAAGCAACUCAAACCAAACACCUUUGCUUAUGUAACUUAUUUGAAAUAAACAACUACAAAUAAGCAACUUAUUUACUUAUGCAUAAGAAAUGUAAACCAAACAGGCCCUGAUUGGAUUUUUAUUAUAUGUAGGGUCUACCUUUGCAUAAAGUUUUAUACGUGGGAGCUUCCUUGUGAUGUGUCUGGCCUUGCACCUUGCUAAUAAAACAAAAGGCUGUCCUUAUAAAAUAAUUCACGGUGUGGGACAUGAUACAUUUAUAGCGAGGGCAGCUCUAUUGCGGGGUUUUUGAUGGUGCGAAGAGGAGAGAGAAGGAGAUAGCACCACGGGUAAACACUCGAGCAAAAUUUGCACGAGGUGCUAAUCAAAUAUGAGUAUAUGCCACUGUUUAAGGAGAGAAGAAAGAAUCUUCACAUUAACUAAUUAUCAAUGUGUCCGUAGGAUCCACUUUGAACAGCAAAAUAGUGGUAAAUGCUAGAGCAUUUUUUUUGAUAGGGUAGAUCGAGGACGCCACGACCCACACACACCACAUGCACACACGUGUGCGCGUCCUCACACACACACCCACACCAGGGAGGGAUUGGGAGGCUGAACGCGCACGCGCCUGCCUGUACCUAGCCUGGAACCCAUCCCGGUGGGACACGCGAGCGUUGAUCCUAGAGGUCGAAGUCGCGCCUAGCUGCUCGCGCAUACGGCGAGCGGACCAACCGAGCUACGUUUGGUCCUCACUAGAGCAGUUUUUUGUAAGAUUUUUUUAUAAAUUUGCAGAAAUAAAUACCCGUGAAAAAAAUUAGCAGAUCUAGAGAUAUACAUUCGAAUGAAAUGACUGUAGCCAUUUCAGAGGACGGUAGCGGAUGUACUCUUGGGUUGGCUUAGAAAGUGGAGGAUCAACCCACGUCGCAUAGCGGCAGUUUCCUUCAUCGAGAUAAGACUGAAAAUGAUGUUAGUUGUGGCACGAAAAAAGUCUAGAAAAAAGUAACAAAGUAAUAACUUGACUCACCAAGCCAUACAGGCAUCGAAAGAAACGUCGUCUACCGUCACCGUAGCCAUCAAACAACUGCACCAUGCAAGCCACAUCAUAGCCACACAUUGGCCAUGCAUCAUGGCAGUCAUCAUAAAGCCUAAGGGAGUUUGGAGGGAUGUAGUUAGCCCUAUCAUGCAGAGGGAAGUCAUCAAAGGGUUGCUCAUACUCCGUUGGGCUAAAAGAACUAAGCCAAGUGAUGGUGGAAAUAAGAGCAUCACCUCCUCUUCCCCUCCUCCCACGAUCUCUCUCUUGCGGAUGUUAUUGUUCUUCCUUGUACUCAGUUUUGUGGAAGGAUAUGGGACAGGGGAACCUACCGCCCAACCAAACGGCGGCCGUCGUUAGAUCGGGUCUAGAUCUACUAAUUUUUUAUACGGGUAUUUAUUUCUGCAAAUUCAUAAAAGGAGAAAAAUAAAAAAAUAAAAAAAUCUUUUUGGAGCUCCAUGGGCCAGCCUACCUGAGCCUCACAAGGAAAUUAGACAUUAUUGUUGGGUGUGUUUGUCCGUUGGUAAGGCACACAUCUCGUAUAGAAGCCCAGUGGCCCAAACUGCACAUGGCCUCGUUGUAUCCAAGUGCACCCACCUACCAAUUUCGCAAUUCGUAACCCUAAAUCAGCUUGCUUUGGUCCCUGAAUCUGGAAGCCACCGGAUCGCCACCGCCUCUGCUCCCGCACGCCUCUGGCCGCCUCCUUCUUCGUCGGUAAGGCACCUCAUCACCUUACAAAUCCCCCGAUUUGUCUUCACAGAGAUUCCCCUUGGCCCUCCAAAUCUCUGUUUCAAGCUAGGUCGCCAUGUCCACCGCCGCCAUCUUCCCCAACUGGGUGAUGCUGGAGCCCAUCGUGCUCCGCAGGGACGACGGCAGCUCUUUCCCGGACGAGAGCGAGGCGCCCGUCAGGGCGUUCGGCACCACUUCCUAGGGCGCACAGUUCUGUUUCGCCUUCGACCUCGUGGAGCCCCUGCGUAGCUGCCGGGCUUUCUGGGUCCCAGGAAAGGGAGGCCCUUAGCCAUGGUGUUGACGCACCGCCAUCUCACCCUAUUUAGCGUCGGUACCAUGAGUCCAUAUCUGUGUCAGAACUUAUUCAUCUACAGCGCCAAGUCUUCCUCGCUCGAAAGGCUCCCCUAUUGUACCGAGGAUUUGGAACUUGUCCUCCACGAUGGCAGCCCAUCUCGUCACCCUCGUGAAUCGGGGUCGCGCCUGCAGUGCGUCAAUUCCAUGGGCCUCUUGUGCCAAGGCGAGGAAGAAGAAGAGUUCGGGGUGGCGGAGCUGAAGCUCUACCCGGACAAAUGCAAGCGUAAGAUCUUCGCCGACAUCUUCCUGUUCUUGAAGUCGACCGGCAAAUGGAGCUCUUUGCGUGUACCCAUCCUCCACAGCGACAAUCCCGAUGAUGUCUGGCAUCUCUACAUCUGGCAGACCCACAGGGUCAUCCCUGUGGACCACUGGUUGUGCUGGAUUGAGUGUAUGCAAGGCAUCCUCUUCUACGAUGUGUUUGCGGCAGCGCCGGCUACUAUCUCCUUAUUCCGCUUCUCCGUGCACAAGUUCCCUGCUACUCAUCCCAAUCGUGGCAGCUGGUUUCACCGUGGUGUGUCUGCCUUUGAUGCUGCCGGUACGCUCAAGUUUGUCGAUGUCACCCGUGAUGAUGGCAUUACUGGCUACAAGGCACUCAAGCCCGGUGCUGCCUUCACCAUGACCUGCCACAGCCUCCUCCUUCCAUCGUCUCUAAGCAGUAGCAGCAUGGUGUGGAACAAGGACUGGACAGUCCCUGUUGAAAUAAUGGGCCUAGCCCAUAGUAAUUUCAGAAUUUCAAAUAAAUCUCAAAGGUCCAUGUGGGCAAGAGGUGGAGUGGUGCAAGUCUUUAGUCCCACAUUGCUAGUGGAGGGGAAGGAUGACCAACUUAAAUAUGGAAGUUGCCUCCACUCCUCCAAGCUAUGUGUGUGGGGAGAGAAGCAGAGCACCACACGCGCGCACUCGCUCGCCAUGCCACGCCUCACCUCGUCUCACCGGGCCGGGCCAGGCCGGGCGGUGCGGGGCGGGGCGAAGCGUGUGGGCGCGCGGCAGCUGCGUGAAUGGUCCGCCAAAAUCCAGCCCCUCGCCUUGCGGGGGUGCGGCCUCCUUUUACCGUUUUAUUUUUUGGUUACUUGGUCUUUAAGUCAGCGAGAUAUAUGGAAUCCUAUCCGGUUUAGAUCACGAUCGCGACGUGAGAAUCGUGGGCUCUCCUAUAUAUGCAACCUACCGGCCUCUACCAAAAACAGAUCUAUUCGAGCUAGGGUUUUUGCCUCCUCUCGCUGCUGCACCGCCACCGUAGUCUACUCCAUCCCGAUUGUCGGCGUGCACCGGCGAUUGAGAGAUCAAGUCUCCAGAACCGUCGUCUUCAGCGAUCCUGCACCGAGAGAGGGCGAAUAAGGUUUUUGGGAAGCGCUCUGCGCGACUGCUCAAUCGCUUCCUCCGCUUCAUCAAGUUUUUCGUCGACUCCUUCACCACGGCUCGUCUACCUCUUCGUCACUCGCUGUCACGAACAACGUCAGGCUGCUGAUCGCCGUCGCCUGCUGUACCCGGUAGUCGUCCAGGAGCCGGUCUUCAUCAAGAAAGAAACGUAAGGUCUCUUAUCUCAAAUUAUGUCUUCCAUACUAGCUAUUAUGAUCUGUUGCAGUCUGAUAGCACUGGAUAGUAUGGUAGAAUGUGUGAUUCUAUUUGUAAUGAUAGACUUGUCUAGAUCUUGCGUAGACAUGUCUAGUUUAAUCUGCUAUUUGUUCAUCGUAUUUAUGAUUUAUUUCUGGAUUAAAUUAAAACUAAAAGUGCUUAUAUAUCCAACAAUCCAAAAACCUUAUUGUAGGCACUUUAGUUUUAUGGCUGGAUUUCUUGAUGCACUGAGGCCAGCAGCGUUUGCUGGCGUGCACUUCAAGAGGUGGCAGGUAAAAGCCACGUUGUGGCUUACUGCCAUGAAGGUGUUCUGGGUGUCCAAUGGCAAGCUGAAAGGGGUUCUCUCUCCUAAAAAAGAGAAAGAAUAUUCGGAAGCCAACACAAUCUUCUUGGGCGCUGUGAUUGGUGCACUUGCAGAACAUCUGCAGGAUGUGUACUUCAUCACACGGUCGCAAAGGAGUUGUGGGACGAUCUGACUGCCAACUACGGUGGCCCAGAUAUGGGCACUGAACUGUACAUCAUUGAGCAGUAUCAUGACUACAAGAUGGUUGACGAAAAAUCUGUAGUCGCUCAGGCUCAUGAAUUACAGUGCAUGGUGAAGAAACUCGAUCUGCUAAAGAUUGUCAUGUCUGACAAGUUUGUGGCUGGGGGCAUUAUUGCCAAGUUACCUCCAUCCUGGAGGGAUUUCGCCACUUCUCUCAAACACAAGAGGACAAAAAUUUCUGUUUCAGACUUGAUUGUGUCUCUUGAUGUUGAGGAGAAAGCUCGGGCUAAAGAUGGACGAUCUAAAGCUGUUGAGGGUCAGACUAGUGCCAAUAUGGUGCACCAAUCACAUCACAAUGGCAAUGGUGGCAAGGGCAAGGGCAAGAACAAUAAGCCUAAGCAGUCCACUACCUUCAAGAAGAAGAAGAACAAGGAGAACGAGGGAUGCUUCAUGUGCGGUUCUACUGACCAUUGGGCAAAGAAGUGCCCAAACCACAAAGGAAGAAAACCUCCACAGCAGAAGUCUGUGAGCAUGGUGACCAGCACUGGAGACGGAAAUAGUGGGUAUAUUAAUUUACCUUCUGUUUUUUCAAUGUUUCAGUCUACUAAUACUUGGUGGCUUGAUACUGGUGCUAAUGUUCAUGUGUGUGCUGAUGCCUCCUUGUUCUCAUCUUACCAGGUCGCUCGGGAUUCCUCCAUCCUAAUGGGGAAUGGGUCACAUGCUUCUAUUCAUGGUGUUGGUACGGUAGUCUGAAGUUUACUUCGCGAAAGAUCAUGCAACUGAAGAACGUGCAACAUGUCCCUUCUAUCAGGAAGAAUCUAGUUAGUGGCUCCCUUUUGUGUAGGGAUGGUUUUAAGGUAGUGCUUGAGUCUAAUAAAAUUGUCAUAUCUAAGAGUGGACAAUUUAUUAGUAAAGGCUAUGAGUGCGGAGGCUUGUUCCGCUUUUCCCUUUCAGAUUAUUGCAAUAAGUUUGUGAACUAUAUUUGUGAUGGUAUUAAUGAGAGUGAUGCUAGUAUUUGGCAUUCAUGUUUAUGUCAUCUGAAUUUUGGUUCUAUGUCUCAACUUUCCAGCCCGUGUUUAAUUCCGAAUUUUUCCAUUGUUAAAGGUUCUAAGUGUCAUAGUUGUGUGCAAUCUAAGCAACCUCGAAAACCUCACAAGGUAGCUGAGGAGAGACACUUGGCACCACUUGGACUAAUUCAUUCUGAUAUAUGCGAGAUGAAUGGUGUGUUGACCAAAGGUGGAAAAAGAUAUUUCAUGACUUUGAUAGAUGAUGCGUCUAGAUAUUGCUAUGUAUAUUUAUUGAAAACGAAAGAUGAGGCUCUUAACUACUUCAAAAUCUAUAAGACUGAAGUUGAGAAUCAACUUGAGAAAAAGAUCAAGAGAAUUAGGUCUGAUCAUGGUGGCGAGUAUUUCUCUAACGAUUUCGACUUUUUCUAUGAAGAACAUGGUAUUAUACAUGAGAGGACGCCUCCCUAUUCGCCCCAAUCAAACGGGGUUGCCGAAAGAAAGAAUCGCACUUUGACUGACUUGGUGAACGCCAUGUUAGACACCAGUGGAUUAUCUAAGGCAUGGUGGGGGGAGACUGUAUUGACUUCAUGUCAUGUCCUGAAUAAAGUACCCAUGAAGAAUAAGGAGAAAACUCUCUAUGAAGAAUGGAUUGGAAGAAAACCAUCACUUUCAUACUUACGCACUUGGGGUUGCUUGGCAAAAGUUAGUGUGCCAAUCAACAAGAAACGUAAGUUGGGACCUAAAACUGUGGAUUGUGUCUUUUUGGGAUAUGCUCAUCAUAGCAUAGCCUAUAGAUUUUUAGUGGUUAAAUCAAAGGUGCCUGAUGUUCAUGUUAAUACCUUGAUGGAGUCUCGUGAUGUUACUUUCUUUGAGAAUAUAUUUCCUAUGAAACAAUUGCAUAGUAUGUCUAGACUAUCUUCUGAUAUGAUUGCUGAGACAACUCCUGAACCUAUUGUGCUUCCUGAUCAUGCUGAACAAACACUUGAGCCAGUUCAUGAGGAGGUUAAUAGUGAAGCUCCUAAGAGGAGCGAGAGACAAAGAACUGCAAAGUCCUUUGGUGAUGAUUUCACUGUCUAUCUCGUAGACGAUACUCCUAAGACUAUUUCAGAGGCAUUUGAACCUCCAGAUGCAGAUGAUUGGAAAGAAGCUAUCCAUAGUGAGAUGGACUUUAUUCUUGCUAAUGGAACUUGGGAGCUUGUUGAUCGACCGUAUGGUUGUAAACCUGUGGGUUGCAAGUGGGUGUUCAAAAAGAAGCUUAGGCCUGAUGGUACUAUUGAUAAGUACAAGGAUCGACUUGUGGCUAAGGGUUAUACCUAGAAAGAAGGCGAAGAUUUCUUCGACACUUAUUCACCUGUUGCGAGAUUGACCAGUAUUCGAGUAUUACUUUCCCUUGCUGCCUCACAUGGUCUUCUCGUCCAUCAGAUGGAUGUUAAGACAGCUUUCCUUAAUGGAAAGUUGGAUGAGGAAAUUUAUAUGAAUCAGCCUGAUGGGUUUGUAAUAAAGGGUCAAGAGAACAAGGUGUGUAAAUUGCGAAAUCUUUGUAUGGUCUGAAACAAGCACCUAAGCAGUGGCAUGAGAAAUUUGAUACUACGCUCAUAUCAGCAGGCUUUUCUAUCAAUGAGUCUGAUAGAUGUGUGUACUACCGCCAUGGUGGGGGUGAGGGAGUUAUAUUGUGCUUGUAUGUCGAUGACAUACUGAUCUUUGGUACAAAUCUUGACGUGAUUAAAGAGGUCAAGUCAUUUCUGUACCAAAAUUUCGACAUGAAAGAUCUGGGAGAGGCUGAUGUAAUUCUAAAUAUCAAGUUGAUCAAAGGAGAGAAUGGGUUACUCUCACGCAAUCUCAUUAUGUGGAAAAGGUCUUGAGCCGGUUUGGCUUCAAGGACAGUAAGUCUUCUCCCACACCUUAUGAUCCGAGCUUGAUACUUCGGAAAAACAAGAGAAUUGGUAGAGACCAAUUAAGAUACUCUCAGAUUAUUGGAUCACUUAUGUAUUUAGCCAGGGCUACUAGGCCUGACAUCUCAUAUGCUGUUUGCAAACUGAGCCGGUUUACCUCUAAUCCGGGAGAUGAUCAUUGGCGUGCGCUUGAGCGAGUCAUGCGCUAUUUAGUUGGUUCUAUGGAUUACGGAAUUCACUACUCCGGGUAUCCUGCGGUACUGGAAGGCUAUAGUGAUUCAAAUUGGAUAUUUGAUGCUGAUGAACUGUAUGCCACAAGUGGAUACGUCUUCACUCUUGGUGGUGGUGCUAUUUCAUGGAGGUCAUCCAAACAGACUAUCUUAACGAGGUCUACCAUGGAAGCAGAACUUGCAGCAUUAGAUACAGCCACAGUUGAGGCUGAUUGGCUACGUGAACUCUUGAUGGACUUGCCUAUUGUCAAGAAACCUAUGCCGACAAUACUUAUGAAUUGUGACAAUCAAACGGUGAUAGUCAAAGUGAACAAUUCUAAGGACAAUAUGAAGUUAUCAAGACACGUUAAGAGACGUCUGAAAUCUGUCAGGAAAAUGAGAAACUCCGGAAUAAUAUCAGUGGAUUACAUCUCAACUGAUAAGAACUUGGCAGAUCAGUUCACUAAGGGGCUGUCACGUAAUGUGAUAGACAGUGCAUCAAAGGAGAUGGGUAUGAGACCCAUAUGAGCUACACCAUGGUGGUAACCCAACCUAUGUGAUCGGAGAUCCCAUGAAAUAGGAUCUGGGAAGAACAAGCCAUUGGAUAGCAUGAGAGUAUCCUACUAACCCACUCGAGAAAUGAUGCAACACUCUCAAACCACUACAUGGCAGGCUAGCUACUGCCUUAAUAUAUUUUGUUGGCUUUAAUUAGCAAAGAUGUUGCCCUGCAGAACAUCUUGGAAAAAUAUACCUAUAUGAGCCCGACUGUUGUAAGGUUGCACUUUGUGAGACUUGGGUGAUCUCUAUUAAGCUCAUGAAGAGACCAGGGGGUACGACCUAUAUGCCCCACCCGCGGGGUAGGCUACAGGCAGCCAGGUACUAGUACCGACUUUGAGUGAAACUUAUCCGCACAAAACUUGCAAUUCAAGGCUUAGUCCAUUGUUCAAGUUGUGGAUGAAUGUAGCUUGAAGCUCUAGGCGAGAGUUCCAACAUAACAGUCCUCGCUGAAACACUAGUAUAUAAACAGCAGUGAGAAACAGGCAAAAUCUCUAAUGGACAUUUGAGAUCUGGUGGGGGAUUGUUGAAAUAAUGGGCCUAGCCCAUAAUAAUUUCAGAAUUUCAAAUAAAUCUCAAAGGCCCAUGUGGGCAAGAGGUGGAGUGGUGCAAGUCUUUAGUCCCACAUUGCUAGUGGAGGGGAGGCUGACCAACUUAAAUAUGGAAGUUGUCUCCACUCCUCCAAGCUAUGUGUGUGGGGAGAGAAGGAGAGCUCCACACACGCGCGCUCGCUUGCCACGCCGGGCCGGGUAGAGCGGGGCGAAGGGCGCGGGCGCGCGGCACCUGCGUGAAUGGUCCGCCGAAAUCCAGCCCCUCGCCUUGCGGGGGCGCAACCUCCUUUUGCCGUUUUAUUUUUUGGUUACUUGGUCUUUAAGUCAGCGAGAUAUAUGGAAUUCUAUCCGGUUUAGAUCACGAUCAUGACGUGAGAAUCGUGGGCUCUCCUAUAUAUGCGACCUACCGGCCUCUACCAAAAACAUAUCUAUUCGAGCUAGGGUUUUUGCCUCCUCUCGCUGCUGCACCGCCACCGUAGUCUACUCCAUCCCGAUUGUCGGCGUGCACCGGCGAUUGAGAGAGCAGGUCUCCGGAACCGUCGUCUUCAACGAUCCUGCACCGAGAGAGGGCGAAUAAGGUUUUUGGGAAGUGCUCUGCGCGACUGCUCAUCGCUUCCUCCGCUUCAUCAAGUUCUUCGUCGACUCCUUCACCACGGCUCGUCUACCUCUUUGUCACUCGGGCGUCUCUCGCCGUCGCGAACAAUAUCAGGCUGCUCAUCGUCGUCGCCUGCUGUACCCGGUAGUCGUCUAGGAGCCGAUCUUCAUCAAGAAAGAAACGUACGAUCUCUUAUCUCAAUUUAUGUCUUCCAUACUAGCUAUUAUGAUCUGUUGCAGUCUGAUAGCACUGGAUAGUAUGGUAGAAUGUGUGAUUCUAUUUGCAAUGAUAGACUUGUCUAGAUCUUGCGUAGACAUGUCUCGUUUAAUCUGCUAUCUGUUCAUCGUAUUCAUGAUUUAUAUCUGGAUUAAAUUAAAACUAAAAGUGCUUAUAGAUCCAACAGUCACCUCUGAUGAGCUCUGGAGUACUGAUGAUUGCCUCCCGCGCAAGGUUCCCAUGUUCCCCCAAGUGAACAUCGACAAGCCACAUCUACGCGCAGCUGCCGGGCUUCCCGGGUCCCAGCAAGGAGAGGCCCUUAGCCAUGGCGGUGACGCACCGCCAUCUCGCCCUAUUUUGCGUGGGUACCAUGAGUCCAUGGCGGCUUCAGAACCUAUUCAUCUACAGCGCCAAGUCUUCCUCGCUCGAAAGGCUCCCCUGUUGUACCGAGGAUUUGGAACUUGUCCUCCACGAUGGCAGCCCAUCUCGUCGCCCUCGUGAAUCGGGGUCGCGCCUGCAGUGCGUCAGUUCCAUCGGCCUCUUGUGCCAAGGUGAGGAAGAAGAAGAGUUCACGGUGGCGGAGCUGAAGCUCUACCCGGACAGACGCAAGCGUAAGAUCUUCGCCGACAUCUUCCUGUUCUUGAAGUCAGCCGGCAAAUGGAGCUCUUCGCAUGUACCCAUCCUCCACAGCGGCAAUCCCGAUGAUGUCUGGCAUCUCUACAUCUGGCAGACCCACAGGGUCAUCCCUGUCGACCACUGGCUGUGCUGGAUUGACUGUAUGCAAGGCAUCCUCUUCUACGAUGUGUUUGCGGUGGCACCGGCUACUAUCUCCUUAUUCCGCUUCUCCGUGCACAAGUUCCCUGCUACUCAUCCCAAUCGUGGCAGCUGGUUUCACCGUGGUGUGUCUGCCUUUGAUGCCGCCGGUACGCUCAAGUUCGUCGAUGUCACCCGCGAUGAUGGCAUUACUGGCUACAAGGCACUCAAGCCCGGUGCUGGCUUCACCAUGACCUGCCACACCCUCCUCCUCCCAUCGUCUCUAAGCAGUAGCAGCAUGGUGUGGAACAAGGACUGGACAGUCACCUCUGAUGAGCUCUGGAGUACUGAUGAUUGCCUCCCGCGCCAGGUUCCCAUGUUCCCCCAAGUGAACAUCGACAGGCCACAUCUAGCGCAUUUGCUUAUCAGCGACUUCACAUACGUGAUGAGGAAGAUGUGGGUGGUCACCAUUGACAUGAACACCAGGACCGUCGAGUCAUUUUAUCAGUAUCUCAAUGGUCAGGAGGACAUUGGAACUGAGCAGGAGUUCUUGACCGACCAAAAGUCCGUGUGUCCCAGUUCCUUCCUCCCCAGUGAGUUCUCCAAGUACCUUUCCUCAAGGUAAUACUAAUUGCUAGCUGCUGGCAUUUAUCUAUCUUUCACCUAGCUGCUCAUUAGUAGGUUUUUGCUGGUUAAUUGCAUGUUUAAUUUGUCCCUUGCAUUGCAUAUAUGCAAGUUGUUCACCACAUAUUAAUCAAUCGUUAGCAUUUCACUUCAAUCUUUAAUCAAGUGUUUGUUUUUGGCAAUUCUUUCCUAAGUAAAUAUAUAUAGCACAACUAAUAAUUUGGGACGCAAUGGCAGUAUUUUCCUCUAGUAUUUGUUGUCUUAACUUAAUUGUGACUAUACUGUGCAUGCAUCAUUACAAAUCAUUGUCACAAAACAUAAAUCAUGUGACGGUUUGGACCAAGUACAUAAUAAAUGAGAGUGAUCACAAUGUACAUUGGUAAUUUUGUACAAUCAUAAUGUACGCUUGUGGCCAUGCAAGGUCAAAUUCCAAACAAACUGCCAAACACACAGAGAAAAAACUACAUUAGUGUGUUAUCAAUGUAUUACUACUAGCCUGCAUGUUUUCAGAAGAACAAACAAACCACAAGAUCACAUUUUGAAUUAAUCUCAAGUCAUCAUUCAUCAUCUGUCAAGUUCUCCAAAAGCGCCAAAUUCUGCAUUUUGAGGAUCCUCAUGUUGAGCUCAACUUGGCGACUGAUUGCUGUAUGCCUGUGUCAUGAUUAUCAUGGAAGCCAUCAACGGGAGCUACUAAAUUACAAAUGAAUUAUGUAUGUCUGUUAGUUCACUUAAGGCCCAAAAUAACAGCCGGAGAAAAUGUUUCCUUACAAAUCGAUUCAGAAGCACUGGAUUGCAUGCAUAUUCGCCGUUGUGGGCUCCUAGCUAGCUGUUCUCGUACUCUUUGGCGAGCUACAAGCCUACAAGAUGAGAAUGACUGUAUGGAUGAGAACGAAGAGGUAAGAGAUAUGGAUACAGGUCUGUGUAAAUAAAAAGCCUCGACAUGCUAAAUAGGGAUAAACGAAGUUAAACCAAAGAACCCCUCAGCAGCAGCCAGCAGCUUAAAAAAAUGAUAACUAAUCUAUUAUUAUGACCUAAAAUGCUUUUAUUACUAGCAUGCUUUUUAAAGUAUUGCGAUUGGAAUUCCUGCAUUGCAAACAUCUUUUUCCAUCCAUUCAUGUGUUUUUUCCAUCCUUUGUUUCGCUAUUACACACUCAUCACAUUCAUACGGUUUUUUCCUAUUCCUCUUGUUUUAUAUUCCUUCGUUCCAAAUAGACCCUAAACACUGAAGACAUUACGAACCUGGGAGCAUUAUGAACUCUGAAUAAGUUACAGAGGGAUUUACACAAUACGGAAUUUCUGAAUGCCUGCACUGAAACGAAACAAAAUGGAAAUGUUCCUCAAAUGACAGUUCCAUGAAGUAGCUAGGAAACUCUAAGGGUCCAUUUGGCUGAGAGAAUCGUUCCAGAUUCUUGCUAGAAUUUGUCUGUUGCUUGCCAAACGGUCACCAUAGCUAUAGUUGGCUAAAUGGGCCGGGCUAAACGGGCAGCAUGAGGGCCGGCCUGUUUUGGCCUGACGCCAGCACGGCCUGGCCCGCUGUUACACGGGCCUGUGCCGGCACGGCCCGACACAGCAAGCCGAACCUAGGCCUCAGCUGCGGCACGUCGGGCGGCCCAUGGCACGGCCCGUGCAACGGGCGGCACGGCCACGGCCCGGUUUCCCUGGUAUAAGCCCUCCCUCCUAGCCCCCUCCCGCGCAUCCGCAUCGGCAACCCUAAUCCCUAAUCCCCUCCCCCUCCCUCUCCUCCAGUCCACCGCAAUCCCACUCGGCCGCUCAGCCUCGCGCGUGUCUGCCUCCCUCUCACCCUAAGCACCGGUCACCGUCACAGCGGCACCGCCCCCGUCAUCGGCUCCCCACCCCCACCUCCUGCCCUCCGCCUGUCCGCCUUCGGCCCUCCGCCUAUCCGCCUCCUUCCCCUUCUCGAUCUAGAUCUCACCGGUCCGCCUCUGCCUCUUGCCUUGAUGCCUCCUUCCCCUCCUUGAUCUCGGCAUGCUUGGGUGCUUCGGCAACGCAGGUACUUUCUUCUUCUUCCCCUUCUCACAUCUUGACCUAAUCCCCUCCCGCAUCUUGUCUUCUAGGUCAUUGGCUGAGCACAAUGCCAUCGUGCUCACAUGGGUGUGGCGCGCACCGUUGAGGAGCCUGAGCCGCCAAGGCAUCAAGGAGGCGAGGAGGAGGGAGGUCAUUAGAGUCUCGGAGAUGGAGACUGAUACACCGACCUCUGAUACACCUUGGUCGUUAGAAGAGGAUGUCCUCCAGGUUGGCUUGGCUGGUGGCAGUGCUGCAGAUGCUAUCGACCUUGAUGGUGCCGGCCCUGCCGGCGCGCCCGAGGAGUCGGUGCCGCCAAUGAGCUUUGACGCGAAGAGGGUCAAGAACUCCAUAUCUAAGGUGUUGAACGACUUUGAGGAGCUCAUCAACACGAGGAACAGCAAGAAGGUCAAGUAUGGCGCUAGGUGCCUUCAUUGCAGUCAUGAGUACUCUGGCAAAUCUUCUAGUUGUACUGGCCAUUUGUGCCAGCACAUUCUUGCUUGUAGGAAGAGAAAAGAAAAUGAUCGCAUGGCUCAAACUGUGCUAAAGUUCAAUCCUGAUGGUUCUAUCCAUUAUUGAGAGUACUCUGAUGCUGUUGCUCGUAGUCAACUUUGCCGCUUGAUAGCUAGGGAGGAUAUGCCUUUAGGGUUUGGAGAGUCUAAUACCUUUUAAGAGUACAUAAACUGUACUCAUAACAAUAGAUUUUCUAAAUCCUCUAGGCAAACCACCACCAGAGUAACAAUAGAUUUUCUAAAUCCUCUAGGCAAACCACCACCAGAGAUAUGGUAAAACACUUCACUGAACGUCGUGGUAAGCUUAAGGAAAUGUUAGUUGUAUCUUUUUCAUCUGUUGCUCUUACUUCUGAUAUAUGGUCUGGAAAUUCUAAGGAGGAUUAUCUUAGUAUGGUUGCUCACUUUGUUAAUGCUGACUGGGAAUUAGAAAAAAGAUUGCUAGGUCUGAGACUCAUUGAUGAGUCACUUCUGGUUCUUCUUCUGUUUAUUCUCCUUCUCAAUUGGGAAGGAGGACAAGUAUUGGUGCACUAUUUGUAAGUACUACAUCUCUUUCAGAACUGUCAUCAUAUCUAGAUAGUGACUACGUCACCCAAUACGAUGAAGACUUCAACAUUCUCAAUUGGUGGCACGAGCAUAAGCAAACUUAUCCCAUUCUUUCUAUACUUGCUAAAGAUGUGCUAACAGUACCUGCUUCCACAAUAUCAUCAUAAUCCACUUUUAGUCUUGCUGGCAGGAUGCUUGAGGAGCGGCGACGGUGGCUGACAUCUGACAUGGUGGAGGUGCUGUCUUGCUUGAAGGACUGGGAGUGGGCUGAUGCUCAAUUGCAGCACAACGUCGAGAAGGAGACCAAAGAUCUGUAUCUGGCUUUCGAGAACAUGUUCCUUGAUGAUGAUGAUGCUGAUUCAUGAUGGAGUGAUGCCUUGAUGGACAUGUGUCUUUUCUAUUCUACUUAGUAUCGCACUAUUUGUGUAAUGAACAUUUGGACAUUAAGAACUCUCUAGAGCUAGGUUGUACUCUUUUUUCCUUUCUAGGUUUUUUCUCACGAGGUGUGAGUUUUACCUAGAAAGGUUUUUAAUAAGGCAGCCACAUCAAACGGCUCAAAUAAAAUUUGAUUUGAUCAUCUCUAUAUCUCUUUGAGUAUCAGUUAUGAUUCUGAUAAUAUGUAUGUAUAUGUUAUAUGCUGUGCAUUCCCUAUCCGUUGGAUGGUUUUUAUUUGGCGGGCCGAUUGGCGGCCCGACCUGACUGGCUAUGUAUAACCACAGCCGGCAAUUCUAGAUAGAAACGUUUCUAGCUAUUCUAAUUUUUUGUACUAGAGAAUAGAAUCACCUCCAAGCCAGUUUCAGGUGAUUCUGUUUCUUUCUUUCCUGUCUCCCCUCUAGUAUGUGAUAAGUACACUUCGUCUUUUUCAAGUGCAAUAAUUUAAAAUGGAUCGCAUGUGAAAUGUUCUUCACCCACAAAAAAAUUCGUGAAGCCUAUCUAUUUCUAUAUUUUUUAAAAAAGAAAAAUAAUUUAUCUUUAUGUCUAUUUUAGAAACCGAAUCAGCUAGGUAGCCAAACAAUUUUAGGUCGCAAAACAAUUUCAGGAAAGUAAUUCUAUUUCAACAAAGAAACGUUUCUACAGAGAAUCUGAAUCUGAAGUGUUUCUUAGAGAAUCUGGAUCCCUACCAAACCAAACCUAGGAUAAGUUAUAAAGCUAGCAUAACACAUGGACCAUAUAAAAGGACCACAAAACAGGAGCCCAGAUUCCAAGAACAAUUACAUCAUAUAAUCUAAAUGUCUCUUAUUUGUUGGAAGGGCAAUUUUUUUAAAAACACUAUGAUUUCCAAAUCCACUUAAAAGAACUUGGUACUUCAGAACGAUCGGUUAGAAUCUUAUAAGCGUUGGACAAUGAGAAAACAGCAUUACCCUAAACUUUCAGUCUCAAAACUAAAUUCAAUUUUUAAGAACUGUUCCAUUUACAAAUUUUUGCAAUACCAGUUAGGUUCCUACUUCCCUUACGUAGUUACUCCUGUAUUACUGUCUGUAUCUCCAACAAAUUCAAUUCCCAGGUAGGCCGGAUUGAUGUAGUUUACAGAGAUGCUUUCAGGGAACUAGUAGUGCAGAUUACUGCACCAUACCAAGCAAGAGCAUGCUAAUUCGAAACCAAAACCGAAACCAAGCAAAACAGCUCACAUUGCUAGUUUCUUCCACGAUAGACAUUUUCUUGUGAUACAUCUAGGAAGGAACAAGGUCCUCAAGUGGAUAGUUCCACUAUCCGCUUGUGGUUUGAUGAAACAUCAGACAAUAUCUUUAUCAAUGAAAUAGGCACAAUCUCAUACCCGUGCGUUCAAAACGAAAAGAAAAGAAACAUCAGACAAUAGUUCGAAAAUCAAAGAAAGAAAGAAAGAGAAAAAAAAUCGCCAGGAUCUUGUUUUGCCGUUCUGAAUUUGUGGUCGCCGCUCCCAUGCGAUGCGUAGCGUUGGUGGAUGGAUCCAUCAGUGGCCGCCGCCCACGGCGUCCUUGACCGCGGCCGCCGCGCCCUGGGCCAUCUGCGCCACCUGAUCAGCAGCCUGCGCUCCCACACGGAUGGGAGGAUUAGAGGAUUAUUCAUCGGAAAUCACCCGGCGAGGAGGAAUUCAUCCGUACUACCUGCUGGACGGUGUCGGCGGCGCGGUGCUGCUGCUGCUGCGCGCUGUCGGCCGCAGCUCCGGUGGCGUCGGCCGCGGCGCCGCCGGCGGCGUCCUUGACGGACUGCGCCGCGCUCUCCGCCUGGCACUGCACACACACACAUGGAUCAUUCAUGGAUGAAUUCCAGGGCACGCCAUGCCAUGCGAGCAAAGCGAUUCGUCAGCACUAGCUCACCUCGCCCUCGGCGGCGUGCGCCUUGCCGGCCUGGAUGGAUUGCUCAACGUUCGACAUCGCCGAUGAUGGUUUCUUCUUGAAGCUGUCAAAAUUACUUGAAGUUGCCAGGCGCUUGAGCCGUGGUUUAUAUAGAGCCUUGUAGGAGCUGCAAGUCUUGACAAGUGUCAGGUUAAUUUUUAGCCAUUUGCUAAUUACCGCAAGCCAAAUUUAGAGCCUCCACAAAUAUCGUAUUCAUGAUUUAUUUCUAGAUUAAAUCAAAACUAAAAGUGCUUAUAUAUCCAACAGUCACCUCUGAUGAGCUCUGGAGUACUGAUGAUUGCCUCCCGUGCCACGUUCCCAUGUUCCCCCAAGUGAACAUCAACAGGCCACAUCUAGUGCAUUUUCUUAUCAGCGACUUCACAUAUGUGAUGAGGAAGAUGUGGGUGGUCACCAUUGACAUGAACACCAGGACCGUCGAGUCAUUUUAUCAGUAUCUCAAUGGUCAGGAGGACAUUGGAACUGAGCAGGAUCAGUUCUUGACCGACCAAAAGUCCGUGUGUCCCAGUUCCUUCCUCCCCAGUGAGUUCUCCAAGUACCUUUCCUCAAGGUAAUACUCAUUGCUAGCUGCUGGCAUUUAUCUAUCUUUCACCUAGCUGCUUAUUAGCAGGUUUUUGCUGGUUAAUUGCAUGUUUAAUUUGUCCCUUGCAUUGCAUAAAUGCAAGUUGUUCACCACAUAUUAAUCAAUCGUUAGCAUUUCACUUCAAUCUUUAAUCAAGUGUUUGUUUUUGGCAAUUCUUUCCUAAGUAAAUAUAUAUAGCACAACUACUUUACCAAGCACCUUCAUUUGCAUGCUAGCUUUCUCUUGCUAACAGAAUCAAUGCAAGUUUGAUUUGAACAUCAUCCAUCUAGAUUGCUUUUUCACAGUAUUUAUGUAUUUCAUUGCAGGACGGUGGAAUGAGUCGCAUCAAUAUAUUUGGUUCCACAAGAUAGUAAGGCUUCUGUUGUGUUUGUCAACAUGUUGAAGGAUGAACGGAUAAGUUAUAUCAAUAAGUUUGUGGAAGUGUGUUCCGUAGGUUCGUCAAAGAUGUUGGUGUGUCGAGCUUAAAGUACAAUCUUUAAAUUGUGUAAUUGUGUGGAUGUGUCACGUGGUACUUGAACCUGUGUGUGUUAUGCCAAGUUUGCAUGUGAAAGUUAAGCUCUACUGCUCCCUCCGUCCCAAAUUAUUAGUCGUUUUAGCUUUUUCUAGAUUCAUAGAUUUUGCUAUGCACCUAGAUAUAUAUUAUGUCUAGAUACAUGUUAAAAGGUAUGAGCCUAGAAAAACCAAAGUGACUAAUAAUCUGGGACAGAGUGAGUAGUAUGUUACCCGUGCUAACUCAAUGGCAGUAUUUUCCUCUAGUAUAUGUUGUCUUAACUUAAUUGUGACUAUAUUGGAUACCCGAGCUAUCCAAUGUGCAGCUGAACCAGAGAGUCGAGGAUAGAGUAUCGUGGAGAUGGGAUGCAUAUGGAGUCUACUCCGCUCGAUCAGCCUAUCGUGCCUUCUUCUUUGGGGCAACGAAGUUCGCUGCAGCUAACCUGAUAUGGAAAUCAUGGGCACCUUUGAAGCUGAAAUUCUUCAUCUGGCUGACAAUUAAGGAGCGCUUGUGGACGGCGGACAGAAGGCACCUGCAUGCCUUGCAAGGAAACGCUAAUUAUAUUGCACUUUUUGCGACCAGGAGUUAGAAACAGCAGCGCAUUUGCAUAUCACCUGUCCGUUUGCAAACGAGGUUUGGCACAUUGUUUUGUCUGAACUGCACAUACAGAACGUUGCCGUGCUAUCUGAAACUUCUUUAACGGAAUGCUGGCUGCGCAAACGGCGAGCCACGAGUAGAUCAUUGAGAAAAGGGAUGGCCUCUAUGUUCAUGUUGAUCUCCUGGACGAUUUGGAGACAUCGGAACGACAGGGUCUUUGAUAGAGCUCCCAACAAAACUCCUUUGCAACUAAGUGAUCCAGGACGAAGAAGGAGCCAAACAUUUAGCGCUGUUCCAAUGGCCGCGCCAGCAGCAGGACUCUGCAAGGGUAGCCUAGUGGGUUGGUUUGUAGCCCCUGUGUACACGGAAGCUUAUGAUGUCUUGUAGUCUAAAACUAGCUACCUAACAAAAUCGUGUGCGUGAGCCGGUAGACCCGUGUUGUAAAAUUAUUUUAUCUCUUCUUAAUACGAAGGUACGCAUGCGUAUUCUCAAAAAAAAGAGCAGUUACAACGUGACGAACUGAAUUUCUACUUCCUCACUCAAGCUGGUAAAAAUCUGGCUAAACUUUACCAAAUGAAUUUCUUUUUCCUCCACUCAAACUGACAAAAAUCUGGCUAAACUUUACCAAAGCAGUGUAUUCCAAACUGUUUGCCCACCUUUCAAUGUUGGAGUACAAGUGAUUGCCCGCAUUUUACUACUAGCUUAAGAUUUUGGGUUGAACUGGUUUGUGCAUUCAACUCAAUAUGGUAUCAGGCCUAGAGGUCUCGGGUUCGAAUCCUAGCGGGCGCACUUAAAUAAAAUAAUUGCAGCCCACUCACAUAUGUUGCUUAAGAGAGCCUGCGCGUGAGGGUGUGUGUUGGAGCAUAAGUGAAUUGCUCACUUUUCCUCAUCACCUUUUGGGUUGAACUGGGUGGUGCAUGCAAAUCAAUACAAAUGAGAAGCGCCCAGCCAUAUGUAACACCAAUGGAUCAAGUUCAAAUCCAGUUUGAAAUUUCAAAUCUGAACUCAAGGUGCGAAAGUUGCCAAAUAUGACCAAGUACCUAUGUUUGGAUCCAGAUUUGAAAAGAUUUCAUAUGGAAACUUGGGAGAAUGUUCUUGUGAAAGUUGGAGUGAAAAAUGAUAUUUUCCAUGCCCAAAGUUGCUCUUGAAAUGGCAAGGCAGGUGUUGCAGGUACUUCAUCCUUCCUGUUCCAAUGGUCUUGCGCCUGAUGGCCUUCACACUCCAGUUAUCUGAAUUGAUGCAACCACCAUGUUAACAUCCAGGAUUGGAGACAUGAUAACCAAACUAUAUAGGAAGUGCAAUCAGACAGCUUAAUCCAACAACCAAGUAAACAAAUAGCAAGGUUAGCUUUAAUGCUUGACAACUGGAUUGCAAACCUAAACCAAUUAGAUGAACACUUGAAGGAAAAAACAUGUAAAGGCAAAAGUUACAACAGAAACAGAUAUUAGUUUUUUUUCCCAGAAGAUAGAUUGCAAAUAGAAUACAAAACAAAAUGCUGAGGUAUCAUCAGAGACUUAAAUACUUGGGAAUCAUUAAAGAAUUUUAACUUCAUCAUAUUGUUGCAGUUUAAUUUCAAAGAAAUAAAGCAAAACAGAUACAGUUGCAGCACAAUGAGGGCCAAAUACUAAAUGCUGAAAAAAAUUCAAAUAGAGUAACAGUGACACAAUCAGAAUAAAGUAGUAUGGUGCUGCGCAGGGCAUGAAAUAUAUUCUCAUUGCAUGGCACCUCUGAAGUCUGGAAGUCACAAGGGAAAAAAUUGACCAAAAACAAACUUCCAAAAAUAAUAAAAGAGGGAUCAUCAGAGACUUAAAUACUUAAGAAUCAUAGGAGUAUUAUUACUCCCAUCAUAUUGUUGCAGUUAUGUUACUCAUCACUUGACCCCCGACAGUGGAAGCAGGCCAAAAAGGUAUUUAAACGGAUUGCAAACUCAUGUAACAUAUACAAAUUAAGCAGACCUAUACGACUCAUGUACUAAUUGCAGGGAACAUUUCCAAAAGAGUUAGAUUGAGGAAGUAGCCAGAAACAUUUGGGUUGAAAUUAUGAAACCAGUGAAUAAUCACUGUAAAGUAGCACACCGCUGCUCAGAACAUGAAAUAUCUUCUCAUCAAUGCAAUUGCAUCUCUGAAGUCUGACAUGCGAUUACAUUUUCAUGAUUCAUCAUAGCGAUUUGACUGGUAGGAAAAACAAAAUCAAGGAGCAGACAGAUACACAAAAGUAAAUACAGUGAGGUAUCUAACUGAGAGCAACGUCCAAACAAGGCACAAAAAGAAUACACUUUUCGCAGACUGGGAUCAUUUUGAAACAACACAUCGUUGUCGGUCACGGAUAAUCAGAAACACGGACCAAUGGUUUUCUUCAUCCUUUCCCGCAACGAACAAAUUCAUCAUAUACGCUAAACAGAAAGCACAUAACCAGGCAGGAAAUCUAGUAACGGACAUGCAUAUAACCACGCAUCCCUAAUAAGAAGCAAAAACUAACAGCAGGCCAUCAAACUUUCAGUUCAUAGAAACAUCCUCCACGCUCCACAUGACACGGUAAGUAGGUCAUCUAACAAGAUGUGUUGACGUCUACCAUAGCAAUCCGCAAGCUAAUGUAACACGGAACAACAUAUACAAUUAGGGCAUGUCAACGCAACUUGAACAGAGAACACCAAACCCAUACAGAUCUAGCAAGCCAACAAGUUCAGUUCAGAGGAAUUUCAAUAGGACAUCCUAAUUUUACAUGCUUAAUUUUCAACCAGGGGCUGGAAGUGAUGAACCUUUCGUAAAAAUAAAGAACAUGUUCCUCUUGCUGAUGCACCAGCAGUUGCUCCUCUUAUUGAUACACCAGCAGAAACUGUGACUCUACCUUCCAAACCUAAGAAACUGAAGCACCAGCCAAGGUACAUCCAAAAGACCACUCAGUUUAAUUAAAGAACUCAUCCGACGAAAUGUCACUUUUAAGGAAGAUUGAACUAGAAGGCAAUUGUGUUGAACUUCUUGAUCAUACCAAAGUCCGUGUCUAUGAGAACGGAUAGGUAAGGCUGUCACGCACCCGUAUUCUGACAAAUCAAGAUUUAGGUGAUGCAGAAAUUGAGAAUCAUCUAAGGCUUAAUUAUAGGGCAGCGGUGGAUAUGAUUUUUAUGUUGUUUGAUGUCAAUGGCAAUGGGCAGUAUUGGCUACCACCAUAUAUGGAUCACCUACUUGGAUUGAUGUGGAAUAAUUUUGGGGAUCGGGGAAUUUAUGCCAUACAUGCUGCUCUUGUACCCAUGGUUUUGUAUCCCCACUUGUUUAAGGAAUUGCACGAUUUCAUUUCAGCUAAGAUUAGGGAUUCGAAAUACCACGACAUCUGUGUUGCACUAGUUGCUAAUGCUCCUGAUUGGAGACGUGAAGUUCAUAAUAAUGACCUCCUUUGUGAAACAUAUUUUUUUAGACAAGGUUUGGAUUAUGUUGUUCCAUACAACUACCCAAAUCAAUUUCAUAUCAGACGUGAUCAACUAGCUACUCUUUAGGAAGUUAGUUUGAUAAAUCAGAAUGCAUCGAGGCUAACACAGCGUGAGAUUGAUAUUAUUAAUGGCCAUAAGCUUUUGAAGUUCAUGAGAAAUCGGUUGGCUCACCGUAUGGAAGCUAUACAAGCCGGCUAUACGACUUGGAAUCAGCAGUUUCAGUAUGAUUUCUCAGCUAUCAAUAGUGAGAUGGUAACUAGAGUUAUAUUUCCUCUAGUUCUGGCUCAAAUUCAGAUUAAUCUUCAUCAUAUGAGGCAUGAUUUGGAGGGACUUGGGUUGGAUAACUUGUUUAAGAGAACUAGAUAACUUGUUCUAAAUGUCCUCUCAGGUAACUUGUGAUUAUGAGCUGUGUAAUUUCUAUGUUGUGUAUGUUGUGUGCUAGUGCUGAUUUGUACUCUUUUUUGUAGGACAGAGAUGGCAGAGGACUGGAGUUAGCAAGGUGGAGUGGCUUGCUAGCUUUUUGGCCUUCUACGAGACACUCUAUUUAACCCCCUGUGGGACUAUGUAACUCGUAAUUGGUAGUAGUGUGGGUGAGACUAUGUAACCGUAGUAGUAUGGUUUCAAACUUCUGUUGGAUUGGCUCGCUAGUUUUUGGACUCUUUUGUGUGAUGACAGCACUCUCUGAAUGGACCCCCUAAUUGGUAGUAGUAGGGAUGCUGGUGGUAGUUUUAAUUGUUGUGUUUAUGUUUAAACUUCUAUGUGUUUAUGUUUAACUGCUAUGUGUUUAUGUUUAAUUGCUAUGUCAAUGGUUUCGAACUUUUGUAUGUUCUUAAAUAGCUUAUAUGAAGUGCAUUUGGUGUCAGAUCGCUUUGAGUGCUGGUUAUUUAAUUGUUGACGUGUUGGGAGCUCUGGACACAUUUCCUUACUAAAGGAAGGAAUAGGAUUUUGCCCUAAAAAGGUGGAUUAAACGUGAAUGGUUUAUUCAAAAUCUACAGCACUGUAAAAUUCUGACAGCAACACAUCAUUUUCAUGAUUUUGUUUGCCUUUGCGUAGUGUGGUGUAGUCUUUUUUAUUAUAGCCACUUUUUUCAAUGCAAAUAUAGUCAUAAGCACAAAAGCUUUUGGUAUGUCAUAUCUCUCGGCUAAAUGUUUGGUCUUUAUUAAUUAUACUACUUUCUGCAUGUACAUGCUAAUAAUUGGCCUCGCUCACUGUUGAGAAGAGGGACGGGAGCACCUCUAUUUAUAGGCGCUCAUGAUCAUUGUAGUGUUGCCAUGUGGCAACUUCCACACUCUUCAAUACAAAAUAUCCUAACUCUACAAUCUCAUCAACUUUAUCUAGUUUCUAAUAUUUCUACCAUGCUAAAAUAUCUAGUUCUAGAGUUUUCUACACUUCACCAUGAAGCAUGAUAAUUAUGGCUCAUGCAUUCUCUCUAAUUUUCUAGAACUUUCUUACCUUGCCACGAUCUUAUCCAUAUACAUGGUAAAGUUAGUCUCUUUAGAUCUCCACAAUCUUCUAGAAUGUUGUAAGUAUGCAUUGCAUAUUUCAACACUCACCCCAUACACGCACUGUAUUAAACUAGUUGCAUGCAGCAAAAGACUUGUUGGAUCAUAUAUUUAUUUCGUGUUUGAUUCUGCAGCAGCUACGAGCUCCCAACCCGCACCCCGUGCCAGUCCAGCGACAUUGUGGCGUUAGUGGCCAGGACACCCAAAAAAGAUAUGCAAUUGUUUUCAUUCCUAGCCAAUAAAUAAGAUGAAGUGUGUAGGAUCGGUAUACAAUUGUUCAUUCCAGUAGUAGUAGUUUAUUCUUUUUGUCAUGGAUCAAUGAAAGUAGCUAGAGUAGUCAGUCAAUAAAUAGGGUGGGAAAAUAAAUAUUCCUGGUGGAUGGCAUAACCAACCACCAGCACAAAAUUUCUCUACGCUAGCGGGUGGUUAUGCCAACCGCCAGCAUGGAAUUUCAUUGUGCUGGCGCGUGGUUAUGCCACCCGACAGCACAAAGACCCACCGUGCUGGCGGGUGGUUAUAUCACCCGCCAGCAUAGAGAGCCAUUGUGCAGGCAGCACCUCUGUGCUAGCGUGCAAGCACCUGCCAGCAUAUACCGCCAUUUUUUCUGGUUCAAAGUUGCUGGCGGGUGUGCCGCCUGCUAGCACAGUGACCAUUUACCCGCUAGUACAAAUGUUUUCUGGAGUAGUGGUUACUGCAUCAACUUGUUGAUAUAUGGACGAGAUAACACUCUAUGACAGGUCAGCACCUUUUCCAGUGCCAAUGGAACCGAAGUAUGGUGGAGGCUUGUUGUUAUCAGUGGUGGCCGUGGCGCACGUGGUGGUGACUGUGGAAGUUGGUUAUCAUGUGAAGCUACAAUUUGAGAUUAGUAGAGGCAAGGAAGAAGCUGGGUGUGGGGUUAGUAGGCAUGCCAGGCCAUCGUGAUGGGCAGAAUGUUCAAGGUAGCUGCGAAGGUAUCAGCCUUGUACGUGCUGUAUCUGAUACCGCUGCGAUCCACGUGCCUCGCCGGUUUCAAGAGCAACUUCAGAGAAGGUACCUAAUUUCAUGUUGAUCCUUGCAAGUUUGGAUAUAGGAAAUCUCAUGUUUGUUAGCUAAUUAGCAUGGAGUGGCUACUCUUCUUGGGAGUAACUUGUUUAUCUCAAUUCAGAGACCGAGGCUACUGCCCCCAAGAAGAGUGCUGCUGCUGCUGCCAACUAAGUCAUGAUUGAUGUCCCCAUUGAAGAACCUCGGAAGCAACGAGUUGAGAACUUUUGGUUGAAUUGUACUAUCUCAUCUCUAUCUAGCCACAAUACUGUGAAAGCACCGGUUUGCCUGUACUUUAAAAUUAAAGUCAGAUGAAGAAUAUCUGAAUUCGCUGCUCCUUAGUUUGAUGUCGUUUUGGUGAUCUGUGCAUGCGUUUCUGAGCAAUUUUAGGCAUAAAAAAAUUCUUUUUAGUAAGCUAUGACCCCCACGCCACGCGUGACAUUGACAAAAGGAAGGUCCGUUACAUGGGCCGGUCAACCUGAGCCUCACAAGUAAAUUAGGCAUUAUUGUUAGGUGGGUUCGUUCGUUGGUAUAGAAGCCCAGUGGCCCAACUGCAUGCAUAUGGCCUCGUCGUAUACAAGUGCACCCUAAAUCAACUUUGGUCCCUGGAAUCUGGAAGACGCUGGAUCGCCGCUGCCUCCAAUCCCGCACGCCUCCACCUCUUCUCUCCUUGCCGGCCGCCGCCUCCUUCUUCGUCGGUAAGGCACCUCAUGACCUUACAGAGAUCAUCCUCCGAUUUGUUCACCUCCGCCGGCUUCCCCAACUGGGUGAUGCUGGAGCCCUUCGUGUUCCGCAGGGACGACAACAAGUCUUUCCCGGACGAGAGCAAGGCGCCCGUCAGGGCGUCCGGCACCACCUCCUCGAAAGCCCAGUUCCAUUUCGCCUUCGACCUCACGGAGCCGAUCUUCAUCAAGAAAGAAACGUACGAUCUCUUAUCUCAAUUUAUGUCUUCCAUACUAGCUAUUAUGAUCUGUUGCAGUCUGAUAGCACUGGAUAGUAUGGUAGAAUGUGUGAUUCUAUUUGCAAUGAUAGACUUGUCUAGAUCUUGCGUAGACAUGUCUCGUUUAAUCUGCUAUCUGUUCAUCGUAUUCAUGAUUUAUAUCUGGAUUAAAUUAAAACUAAAAGUGCUUAUAGAUCCAACAGUCACCUCUGAUGAGCUCUGGAGUACUGAUGAUUGCCUCCCGCGCAAGGUUCCCAUGUUCCCCCAAGUGAACAUCGACAAGCCACAUCUACGCGCAGCUGCCGGGCUUCCCGGGUCCCAGCAAGGAGAGGCCCUUAGCCAUGGCGGUGACGCACCGCCAUCUCGCCCUAUUUUGCGUGGGUACCAUGAGUCCAUGGCGGCUUCAGAACCUAUUCAUCUACAGCGCCAAGUCUUCCUCGCUCGAAAGGCUCCCCUGUUGUACCGAGGAUUUGGAACUUGUCCUCCACGAUGGCAGCCCAUCUCGUCGCCCUCGUGAAUCGGGGUCGCGCCUGCAGUGCGUCAGUUCCAUCGGCCUCUUGUGCCAAGGUGAGGAAGAAGAAGAGUUCACGGUGGCGGAGCUGAAGCUCUACCCGGACAGACGCAAGCGUAAGAUCUUCGCCGACAUCUUCCUGUUCUUGAAGUCAGCCGGCAAAUGGAGCUCUUCGCAUGUACCCAUCCUCCACAGCGGCAAUCCCGAUGAUGUCUGGCAUCUCUACAUCUGGCAGACCCACAGGGUCAUCCCUGUCGACCACUGGCUGUGCUGGAUUGACUGUAUGCAAGGCAUCCUCUUCUACGAUGUGUUUGCGGUGGCACCGGCUACUAUCUCCUUAUUCCGCUUCUCCGUGCACAAGUUCCCUGCUACUCAUCCCAAUCGUGGCAGCUGGUUUCACCGUGGUGUGUCUGCCUUUGAUGCCGCCGGUACGCUCAAGUUCGUCGAUGUCACCCGCGAUGAUGGCAUUACUGGCUACAAGGCACUCAAGCCCGGUGCUGGCUUCACCAUGACCUGCCACACCCUCCUCCUCCCAUCGUCUCUAAGCAGUAGCAGCAUGGUGUGGAACAAGGACUGGACAGUCACCUCUGAUGAGCUCUGGAGUACUGAUGAUUGCCUCCCGCGCCAGGUUCCCAUGUUCCCCCAAGUGAACAUCGACAGGCCACAUCUAGCGCAUUUGCUUAUCAGCGACUUCACAUACGUGAUGAGGAAGAUGUGGGUGGUCACCAUUGACAUGAACACCAGGACCGUCGAGUCAUUUUAUCAGUAUCUCAAUGGUCAGGAGGACAUUGGAACUGAGCAGGAGUUCUUGACCGACCAAAAGUCCGUGUGUCCCAGUUCCUUCCUCCCCAGUGAGUUCUCCAAGUACCUUUCCUCAAGGUAAUACUAAUUGCUAGCUGCUGGCAUUUAUCUAUCUUUCACCUAGCUGCUCAUUAGUAGGUUUUUGCUGGUUAAUUGCAUGUUUAAUUUGUCCCUUGCAUUGCAUAUAUGCAAGUUGUUCACCACAUAUUAAUCAAUCGUUAGCAUUUCACUUCAAUCUUUAAUCAAGUGUUUGUUUUUGGCAAUUCUUUCCUAAGUAAAUAUAUAUAGCACAACUAAUAAUUUGGGACGCAAUGGCAGUAUUUUCCUCUAGUAUUUGUUGUCUUAACUUAAUUGUGACUAUACUGUGCAUGCAUCAUUACAAAUCAUUGUCACAAAACAUAAAUCAUGUGACGGUUUGGACCAAGUACAUAAUAAAUGAGAGUGAUCACAAUGUACAUUGGUAAUUUUGUACAAUCAUAAUGUACGCUUGUGGCCAUGCAAGGUCAAAUUCCAAACAAACUGCCAAACACACAGAGAAAAAACUACAUUAGUGUGUUAUCAAUGUAUUACUACUAGCCUGCAUGUUUUCAGAAGAACAAACAAACCACAAGAUCACAUUUUGAAUUAAUCUCAAGUCAUCAUUCAUCAUCUGUCAAGUUCUCCAAAAGCGCCAAAUUCUGCAUUUUGAGGAUCCUCAUGUUGAGCUCAACUUGGCGACUGAUUGCUGUAUGCCUGUGUCAUGAUUAUCAUGGAAGCCAUCAACGGGAGCUACUAAAUUACAAAUGAAUUAUGUAUGUCUGUUAGUUCACUUAAGGCCCAAAAUAACAGCCGGAGAAAAUGUUUCCUUACAAAUCGAUUCAGAAGCACUGGAUUGCAUGCAUAUUCGCCGUUGUGGGCUCCUAGCUAGCUGUUCUCGUACUCUUUGGCGAGCUACAAGCCUACAAGAUGAGAAUGACUGUAUGGAUGAGAACGAAGAGGUAAGAGAUAUGGAUACAGGUCUGUGUAAAUAAAAAGCCUCGACAUGCUAAAUAGGGAUAAACGAAGUUAAACCAAAGAACCCCUCAGCAGCAGCCAGCAGCUUAAAAAAAUGAUAACUAAUCUAUUAUUAUGACCUAAAAUGCUUUUAUUACUAGCAUGCUUUUUAAAGUAUUGCGAUUGGAAUUCCUGCAUUGCAAACAUCUUUUUCCAUCCAUUCAUGUGUUUUUUCCAUCCUUUGUUUCGCUAUUACACACUCAUCACAUUCAUACGGUUUUUUCCUAUUCCUCUUGUUUUAUAUUCCUUCGUUCCAAAUAGACCCUAAACACUGAAGACAUUACGAACCUGGGAGCAUUAUGAACUCUGAAUAAGUUACAGAGGGAUUUACACAAUACGGAAUUUCUGAAUGCCUGCACUGAAACAAAACAAAAUGGAAAUGUUCCUCAAAUGAUAGUUCCAUGAAGUAGGAAACUCUAAGGGUCCAUUUGGCUGAGAGAAUCGUUCCAGAUUCUUGCUAGAAUUUGUCUGUUGCUUGCCAAACGGUCACCAUAGCUAUAGUUGGCUAAAUGGGCCGGGCUAAACGGGCGGCAUGAGGGCCGGCCUGUUUUGGCCUGACGCCAGCACGGCCUGGCCCGCUGUUACACGGGCCCGUGCCGGCACGGCCUGACACAGCAAGCCGGACCUAGGCCUCAGCUGCGGCACGUCGGGCGGCCCAUGGCACGGCCCGUGCAACGGGCGGCACGGCCACGGCCCGGUUUCCCUGGUAUAAGCACCCCACUCCCAGCCCCCGCCCCCGCAUCCGCAUCGGCAACCCUAAUCCCUAAUCCCCUCCCCCUCCCUCUCCUCCAGUCCGCCGCAAUCCCACUCGGCCGCUCAGCCUCGCGCGUGUCUGCCUCCCUCUCACCCUAAGCACCGGUCACCGUCACAGCGGCACCACCCCCGUCAUCGGCUCCCCACCCCCACCUCCUGCCCUCCGCCUGUCCGCCUUCGGCCCUCCGCCUAUCCGCCUCCUUCCCCUUCUCGAUCUAGAUCUCACCGGUCCGCCUCUGCCUCUUGCCUCGAUGCCUCCUUCCCCUCCUCGAUCUAGAUCUCGGCGUGCUCGGGUGCUUCGGCAGCGCAGGUACUUUCUUCUUCUUCCCCUUCUCACAUCUUGACCUAAUCCCCUCCACAUCUUGUCUUCUAGGUCAUUGGCUGAGCACGAUGCCAUCGUGCUCGCAUGGGUGUGGCGCGCGCUGUUGAGGAGCCUGAGCCGCCGAGGCAUCGAGGAGGCGAGGAGGAGGGAGGUCAUUAGAGUCUCGGAGAUGGAGACUGAUACACCGACCUCUGAUACACCUUGGUCGUCAGAAGAGGAUGUCCUCCAGGUUGGCUUGGCUGGUGGCAGUGCUGCAGCUGCUAUCAACCUUGAUGGUGCCGGCCCUGCCGACGCGCCCGAGGAGUCGGUGCUGCCAGUGAGCUUUGACGCGAAGAGGGUCAAGAACUCCACAUCUAAGGUGUGGAACAACUUUGAGGAGCUCUUCAUCACGAGGAACGGCAAGAAGGUCAAGUAUGGCGCUAGGUGCCUUCAUUGCAGUCAUGAGUACUCUGGCAAAUCUUCUAGUGGUACUGGCCAUUUGUGCCGGCACAUUCUUGCUUGUAGGAAGAGAAAAGAAAAUGAUCGCAUGGCUCAAACUGUGCUAAAGUUCAAUCCUGAUGGUUCUAUCCAUUAUUGGGAGUACUCUGAUGCUGUUGCUCGUAGUCAACUUUGCCGCUUGAUAGCUAGGGAGGAUAUGCCUUUAGGGUUUGGAGAGUCUAAUACCUUUUAAGAGUACAUAAACUGUACUCAUAACAAUAGAUUUUCUAAAUCCUCUAGGCAAACCACCACCAGAGUAACAAUAGAUUUUCUAAAUCCUCUAGGCAAACCACCACCAGAGAUAUGGUAAAACACUUCACUGAACGUCGUGGUAAGCUUAAGGAAAUGUUAGUUGUAUAUUUUUCAUCUGUUGCUCUUACUUCUGAUAUAUGGUCUGGAAAUUCUAAGGAGGAUUAUCUUAGUAUGGUUGCUCACUUUGUUAAUGCUGACUGGGAAUUAGAAAAAAGAUUGCUAGGUCUGAGACUCAUUGAUGAGUCACUUCUGGUUCUUCUUCUGUUUAUUCUCCUUCUCAAUUGGGAAGGAGGACAAGUAUUGGUGCACUAUUUGUAGGUACUACAUCUCUUUCAGAACUGUCAUCAUAUCUAGAUAGUGACUACGUCACCCAAUACGAUGAAGACUUCAACAUUCUCAAUUGGUGGCACGAGCAUAAGCAAACUUAUCCCAUUCUUUCUAUACUUGCUAAAGAUGUGCUAACAGUACAUGCUUCCACAAUAUCAUCAUAAUCCACUUUUAGUCUUGCUGGCAGGAUGCUUGAGGAGCGGCGACGGUGGCUGACAUCUGACAUGGUGGAGGUGCUGUCUUGCUUGAAGGACUGGGAGCUGGUUGAUGCUCAAUUGCAGCACAACAUCGAGAAGGAGACCAAAGAUCUGGAUCUGGCUUUUGAGAACAUGUUCCUUGAUGAUGAUGAUGCUGAUUCAUGAUGGAGUGAUGCCGUGAUGGACAUGUGUCUUUUCUAUUCUACUUAGUAUCGCACUAUUUGUGUAAUGAACAUUUGGACAUUAAGAACUCUCUAGAGCUAGGUUGUACUCUUUUUUCCUUUCUAGGUUUUUUCUCACGAGGUGUGAGUUUUACCUAGAAAGGUUUUUAAUAAGGCAGCCACAUCAAACGGCUCAAAUAAAAUUUGAUUUGAUCAUCUCUAUAUCUCUAUGAGUAUCAGUUAUGAUUUUGAUAAUAUGUAUGUAUAUGUUAUAUGCUGUGCAUUCCCUAUCUGUUGGAUGGUUUUUAUUUGGCGGGCCGAUGGGCGGCCCGACCUGACUGGCUAUGUAUAACCAAUGCCGGCAAUUCUAGAUAGAAACGUUUCUAGCUAUUCUAAUUUUUUGUACUAGAGAAUAGAAUCACCUCCAAGCCAGUUUCAGGUGAUUCUGUUUCUUUCUUUCCUCUCUCCCCUCUAGUAUGUGAUAAGUCCACUUCAUCUUUUUCAAGUGCAAUAAUUUAAAAUGGAUCGCAUGUGAAAUGUUCUUCACCCACAAAAAAAUUCGUGAAGCCUAUCUAUUUCUAUAUUUUUUAAAAAAGAAAAAUAAUUUAUCUUUAUGUCUAUUUUAGAAAUCGAAUCAGCUAGGUAGCCAAACAAUUUUAGGUAGCCAAACAAUUUCAGGAAAGUAAUUCUAUUUCAAUAAAGAAACGUUAAUCUGAAUCUGAAAUGUUUCUUAGAGAAUCUGGAUCCCUACCAAACAAAACCUAGGAUAAGUUAUAAAGCUAGCACAACACAUGGGACCAUAUAAAAGGACCACAAAACAGGAGCCCAGAUUCCAAGAACAAUUACAUCAUAUAAUCUAAAUGUCUCUUAUUUGUUGGAAGGGCAAUUUUUUUAAAAAAAAACUUUUGAAGGGCAAUAACAUCUGAACUCUGGCCAAUCCAUGUUUUUUGUCGCUUGUGCUCAGUCUGUCCCUCGUCAGCAGCCAGAAAAAAAAAUAACUUUUAUGUUUGAGGUGACACUAAGAUUUCCAAAUCCACUUAAAAGAACCUGGUACUUCAGAACGAUCGGUUAGAAUCUUAUAAGCGUUGGACAAUGAGAAAACAGCAUUACCCUAAACUUUCAGUCUCAAAACUAAAUUCAAUUUUUAAGAACCGUUCCAUUUACAAAUUUUUGCAAUACCAGUUAGGUUCCUACUUCCCUUACGUAGUUACUCCUAUAUUACUGUCUGUAUCUCCAACAAAUUCAAUUCCCAGGUAGGCUUGAUUGAUGUAGUUUACAGAGAUGCUUCCAGGGAACUACUAAGAUUACUGCACCAUACCAAGCAAGAGCAUGCUAAGGGGACGUUUGGAUCUUUAGUCCAGACUAAAAUUUAUGUCACCUCGAAUAUUCGGAGGUUAAUUAGAAGGACUAAACAUGAGCUGAUUAUAAAACUAAUUAUACAUAUGGAGGCUAAUUCACAAGACGAAUCUAUUAAGCCUAAUUAAUCCAUCAUUAGCACAUGUUUACUGUAGCAUCACAUUGUCAAAUCACGGACUAAUUAGACUUAAUAGAUUCAUCUCGCAAAUUAGUCUCCAUCUGUGCAAUUAGUUUUGUAAUUAAUCUAUGUUUAAUACUCCUAAUUAGUAUCUAAAUAUUCGAUGUGACAGAAAUUUUAGGAGUGACUAAAGUAACAAACACCCCCUAAUUCGAAACCAAAACUGAAACCAAGCAAAACAGGUCACAUUGCUAGUUUCUUCCACAAUAGAUAUUUUCUUGUGAUACAUCUAGGAAGGAACAAGGUCCUCAAGUGGAUAGUUCCAACAUCCGCUUGUGGUUUGACGAAACAUCAGAUAAUAUCUUUAUCAAUGAAAUAGGCACAAUCUCAUACCCAUUCGUUCAAAACGAAAAGAAAAGAAACAUCAGACAAUAGUUCGAAAAUCAAAGAAAGAAAGAAAGAGAAAACAAAUCGCCAGGAUCUUGUUUUGCCGUUCUGAAUUUGCGGUCGCCGUUCCCAUGCGAUGCGUAGCGUUGGUGGAUGGAUCCAUCAGUGGCCGCCGCCCACGGCGUCCUUGACCGCGGCCGCCGCGCCCUGGGCCAUCUGCGCCACCUGAUCAGCAGCCUGC
rnacentral:lncRNA from 1 species